ACGAGAUUAUGGCCCCCGGUUUGGCGAAUAAUAUUUUUAGCCUCUCGCAAUUUGCCCAAAUUGCACCAUGGCUAUUUCAGAAUCAGCAAUCCAUUUUUUUCCCAUGGAGCUUGCAUCCUCCAGGACGGAUGACAGGAAGAUUGGACCCCCACUUCAACUGGUCGCACCCAAAACCCAGAAGAACAUCAGCCGUCGGAGCCGACCGAAUCCUCAGCUCCACGAUCACCAGCACGGCGAAGGAAGACCAACAACCCCCACACCGCGUCAAUCGACCCCCUCACUUUCGCCAAACGCGUCAGGAGUUACUGCAGUAAAUUGAGCGCCGCAUCGAUCCUGCGCUGGGUGUCGCGGCGACUAUUCUGACUCGAAGUGUCCUCCAAGAUUCCAGGGUCGUCGGGGCUCGCGUUCCAGAUUGCCGUGACUCAUCGAUCGACCCAUCAUCGAUCCACCAAUCUAUCGAUGUAUCCAUCGAGAAAUCCAGACCUUGGGAUGAUGAUGAUGAUGACGAUGAGCAGUUGGGGGGCUGGCUGUGUGGCGUGGCGUGAGGGAAUCGGAGCCUAUACAAGUCCACUCUCACAACUGGCCACUGAACCUAGAAAUUACAAAAAAGGAUAGGUUGCGUUGACGUGACGUGCCGUUGCGUGUUUAGAUUUGCAGUUCAGUGCUGCUGCUGCGUUGCAUUGCGUUUCGUUGCAUUGUUGCAGUGUUGUGUUGUGUUGCGUUGUGUGAAGUGGGAGGGCGCUGUGGAAUUCACAACUCCACCUUGAUUUCGUCCCAUUCCUCCUCCGCCUCCUCCUCCUCCUCACUUUUGCCUGCCCUGCCUGCCUUCCUGCACUCCCUGCUGUUGCUGUUGCUUAUUCUUCUCCCUACUUCUCUGUGUUUUUUCUCCUUCUGUGAUGGUUGUUUCUCGUUGUUUCUAAUUGUUUCAUGCAUCGUGUGUGAGUUUUCUCCAUAAAGUGCCUCUUUACCUCACUCCCUACGUUGUUUAUCAUAUAUCCUGUCUGUAUAUACAUAAAUAAAUAUAAAUAUAUAUAUAUAUGUGGGAAUGUGUGUGUGGUUAUUUGUUUCUGGAGUAUUGUGGGUAGGGAAGCUUCGGUGUGUUUGGUUGGAGUUUGUUUACUGUGUUCGAUUCUUCGGAAAUGGAGUGAAAAAGUGAAAUAUUGAAUAGUAGUUGUUGGAUUUGUGAGGGUUGGUUUAGAGUUGGAUGAAUGCUUCAUUGCUUUGCAUCAAAUGCUUUUUGAUAACUGGAGGUAUGGAAUGUGAUACAUUUGGUUGUUGUUUUGGACAACGUAACUUGGAUUUUGUGGAUGAAGUUAAAAUAAUCACCGCAUUGUGACAAGGCAAGAAUGUCUGUGUUUUCUUUUGUUAUAUAUAUAUAUAUAUAUAUAUAUAUUUAAUAUGAUUUUUGUACUAGGUUUGUUAUUAUUUUGGUUUUUAAGUGCAAUAAUGUAUUUAAAGUGCGUAGUAAUAUUAUAAAACUAUUUCAUAUCAUGAUACAUCAGUUUAUAAUUUUUGCCCAUAUCUUUGUGGAAUUUUUAUAUCUAAUCCUUUGGGUUUGUAACUACUUAUGUUUGUACACUCUAUUAAUAAAAUGUGAAUGUUGUUUUUAUUUACUUGCACCUUUGAUAGUAGACAUGAUAAUUAAUUUAGUUAGAUCUCUAACAAAUUCUUCUACUUGUAGUUUAAGUUUGUGUAGCUUCAUAUAUAUAUAUAUAUAUAUAUUCACACACACAUUUUAUACACUAGCAAGCUUAUGCUAUUAAGCACAUAAAUAGGUUAUGUGGAUCCCAUGCUAUUUCUCUGUGUGAACACAUCUUCUAUCUUAGAGUUUGAAGUCAUUUCUUGUAUAUCACAUGUAAAUUUUAAUUUUUAGUUAUCUUGCUUUGGAAACAUCUCUUGCAAAUCAAAAUUAAUGUUUAUAUUUGUAUGAAAAUAUACACUAUUUCGAAAAAUGAGAGUGCUUAAUCAUGCCCUUUGUUAUGUCUUUGCAAUUUAUUUUUUAAAGUAAAAUGCAUCCCUUCCUUUUAUGUGAAUAUGACUCCAUGAAUUUGGGUGCAAUAUUUUAAGGUUAUUUUAUUUUAUUUUAUUUUUGUAUGUUUAAAUUUCCAUGAGAAGAAAUGCUGCACGUUGGUUAUAAAUCAGUACUAAAAAUUGAUAUUCCAAAACUUAAGAAAUUUAAUGUAUAAAUUCAGGAGAAUAUUUUGAAGCUUUAACCUAUGUGAUAUUAAUUUGUCUUGUCAAAUUAUAUAUCUCAUAGUAUAAUGAUUUGUUCCUCUUGUUGUAGAAAGGCUAUUGGAAAAGCAUUUACAAGGUGUUCAAUUUAUUUUUUCACAAUAUGUAAAAACCUACAAUUUGUUAAUUCUAAAAAUUUAAUCAGAAAAUCGAACAACAUUUUAAUAUCGGACUACAUCAUAAUGAUUAUUUAAAAUCAACACAGUAAUUUUCAACAUUUUCAAUAGGUAUACUGUUGAUAAAAAUUUCAUUAUCAGUUUUUAAGUUUAAUUUAUUUUGCAAUAAAGUUUAUAGUCAUAUUUUACUUAAAAAUGAAACACCUUUCUUGAAUAUUAAUUUCAGAUGCACAGCAUAUGGAUGUUUGUAUGUGAUUGUGGCCACACAAGUAACACAUGUGAGAUCCAUGAAGUGGAAUAUUUUGUUCAAGUAGGUGAAACAAUUCAAAAUGUAUAUUUGAAUGGUUGAUAUGUAUUGAAUGUAUUGGUCAUAAAAUAACAAUGUAAAGUAACAAGAGAUGACUAAUCAACAAGAUGCAAAGACCCACAAUAGACAUAUUUAAAUUGUAGAAAUGUUGUGUGUAAGUAUAGGUUUAAGAUAAAUCUAAACAAUUGGUGGGAAACUACAAGUGAAGCUUCUUAAAACUUAGUUUAAAAGAGAUAAGGAGUGAGUUUGUUGCCAUUAAUACUUUGCCUUUGUUCAAGGGUGUUUUUUUGUGUGAAUAUUUUUAAUACAAGUAGAUGAGAGCCAUAUUGAUAUAAUAUAAUAUAUCACAACAUUAUCAGCAUUAUAAUUAUAUAUAUAUAUAUAUAUAUAUAUAUAGAUGUAUAUUUCUUCACUGGAAUAUUGUGUCCCAAAAGCUUGAACACAACUGACAAUUGCUUUCAAUAGAACAUGACUUUGAUAAAAAAAAAUAAAAAAAUAAAAAAGUAAAAUAAAAACUUUGAAAUCGAUAUUUCACACACAUUUUUGAAAAGAAAACUUUGUAAUUGUUCUGUGGUACCUUCUGGUACGAAUUUUAAGUUACUCCCUUUUUUUUUUAUUUCAUAAACUAAAAAUAAUAUUAUGACAAUUAUAUAUAUAUAUAUAUAUAUAUAUAUAUAAUAUAUAUAUAUAUAUAUGUAUAUAUGUAAAUAAUAUAUAUAUAUAUAUAUAUAUACUAAAGAUCAAAAUUCCUUUUUUCUUCUAAAUCUUUCAUGCACAUUAUUUUCUGGUUGCUUCCAUGAGCUAAUGUUUUCUUCACAUGUUGGUUAAAACAUCUAAGUUAUGUUUAAUAUAUGAUAUUUCAUUUUCAUACUUUCUUUUGGAAUACAUUUUUAUAAUUAUGAGUUCUAGAUUGUCAUCUCACCUCUACAUUUUCAUUCAUUUUUCUAUUUUUUUUUGGUAUAAACCUUAGUCUAGUGUGUAUCCAUAUCAUGUUGCUUUGGCUUUAAGCUAUACACCUCAAUACAUAACUAUUGCUCCUAAACAAAUCAAUUCAGUAGCCAUUGGCUUCAUCUCUUGCAUUAGUAUUCCUUGAAAAAUUUGUUGACAUUUACAUGCACUUCAAAAACAAUUGAUUAAAUCAAAGAUAUUCAACACAAUGAAUGAUAUAAUAUAUUUUUAAUCAUUUUAGAAUAAUUAGCGCAAUCUAAUAUAUCAUGGAUUCCAUUUGUAUAUAUAUAUAUAUAUAUAUAUAUGGUUACUCACUCGUAUAUAUAGUUAACCAUAUAUAUAUAUAUAUAUAUAUAUAUAUAUAUUUAUUUAUUAUUGGUUAACCAUAGGCUUUGCUAAUGUUAAGUACAUUUUUGACAACCAAUUAUUAAAAAAAAAAAAAAAAAACACAAACACAAACACAAACACAAUACACCUUAGUAGUUAAUCAAUGCCCAUUACUGCAAUAAAAAAAAAAAUAAAAAAUAAAAAAUAAACACACACACAAAAUACACAUAAAAUGGUGCUACAUUAGUCACUUUAGUGAAGUGCAAGUCGGGUUCAUUUGCACUGCUAUUGCCAUUGCCAACCCACCAUUGCCAACCCACCAUUGCCAACCUGGCUUGUCCCAUCCUCUUAUUCGAGUAACUGGGUUAAACCCGUAAUUAGGUUUUAUCAUCUUACUACUCUAGCCAAUGGAAUUUUUUGACAUUCUAGCCUAAUAUAUAUAUAUAUAUAAUUUAAGGUCUAAUAAAUAUAAUAAGAAAGCUUAGUUAUAAGAAAAAUAAAUAAAAUAGCAUUGUCAUUGACUAAUUGGUUGAAACAAAGAGGUCUUCUUAUUGGCCAAAAACAUAUGUUGUCUUUUGGUAAUGUAAAAACAUAAGUUAUUCUAUCAUAAUGUAAAAGUUUGUGUUACCUUUUUUCAAUGCUUUUCUCCAAAUACAAUCAAGAUUUUUUAUCUGCAAAAUAGUAAAGCCAAAAGCACCACAACAAACAUAGUUUAUUUUAUAUUUUUAUUAAUUAGCUAUUUUAGUUAUUGAAAUAAAUAAGAAUUGUAUUUGCUUGUAACAUUAAAGAAACAUAAAUAUUUUAUGCUUAUUUGAUUUGAUUUUUUGACAUUUCUCUAGAAUUUGUUGAUUUUUGGCUUGGAAAAUUAACAUGCCACAUCUUUUUUUGUGCCCAAUCGCACAAGUUUCUGCUAAUAAUCAAUAAACAUGCUGAAAUGCAAUCUCAUCAAUGCAUAAAUAGCUCCAAAUUUACAAAUGACAAUUUAUUUGGUCCCUUAAUUAUAAGUAAAUAAAUAAAUAAACAUACAACUGUAUUUUUUCCUAUUAAAUUAUCUAAUUGACACUUAACAUCUAGUUAACAUUUCUGGAUGAAAAGGAAAACCCUUAUCCAGUGUUUCUGAUGCCCGAUGGAAACCCUAAUUCUGCAUCCCCGCGUCGUUACAGACGCGCAUUCCUCGUUCGCCAUCGCAACCAACCCAUUUUCUGAAUUAGGUAUGUCGAAAAGAUUGAUGCAUUGCUGCCCACGAGGGCCAGUUUUCUUUGCACUCACUUUUUGGUUUUGUUUUUUUAGCUGCUGAGUUUUUUUGAGUGCUUUUUGAGUUGUUUUGUGUUGUGUUGUGUGCUUUUUUUUUUUGACAGUAGUGAAACUUUUGUGUUGUUGUGUAGUUUUUUCGACACUAUUGCAGCCCUUUCCACAUGGUUAGCGUUAUCCUGAAAAUAGGACGACCCACACUCCAGGACGCAUCUCGUCUAUCUUCGGUAUAUUGACUCUUCCGCAUCAGUUAUUUUAGCUCUCCACCAUUGCGUGCACAGCGUGUCAGAUUCCACUGGAGCUACUCCGUCGUGGAAGCCAACGCCAGGGCGAAGCUUGUCCACGGACAUGAACAGGACGAUAGGAAAUCAAAGCGAUGCACUGGAAAGCCUCGGAGUGACGCAGACACCUUCAAACAGAGCCUUCUUCCAUUGGGGGUGAAAGAGAGCAUCACGUCAAGCCUUACGAUUACUGCAUGUUUGCACAUCGUGGAUUGGAGUUUCGAGUGCACGCCACCGGACCCUGCCUCUCAGUAGUGAAGUGAAAAAAGGGCCGCAAUGGUCAUAGCUACUCGUGGACUACACCUUUUGAAGCAUUUAGAUGGCCUCUAGUUUAGUAGCUAUCCCAAUCGAUGCUUUUGGCGUGGUUUCAUGUGUGGUCCUGGUGGAACAUCUCUCAGACCUUGAUUUUGUAUUUGUUUAUUUUGGUAUGUCUCACGAUAACUAAGAAGUUUCAGUGCAAGGAGAUGAGAAUCUGCAGCAUGGUGUCAUGGAUUGACUACUGGUUACCGUGGUAAUCAAGCGGUAAUGUCUAUCCUGGUGCUAAUCACAGACCUCUCUGGUCAUUUGUGAUAAUACACAUUUACGAACCGAAUGGCUGAGGCCUCUUCGAACAAAUGACAAGCCAUGAGAAACUUACUUCUUAGGCGGACAAGAGUUUCAUGGGAGAUGAAGGAGAGCUUCAUACUGUUGCUUUGCCAAGGUUCACUCCGUGUUCGCUUGCCUGGGGUUGCCCUUUCAAGGAAGAGCUGAUUCGUGCGAACGCAACAUCUCGAAAUUCUCACAUGGGUGUGUUCGGUAGUUUUCAUGUGGAAAAUUGUUUCAACAAUCAAUUUUCACGUUGUUUCGAAUCUUGGCGCAGGUGAGGUCUUUUUUUGGGUUGAAUAAAAAAUAUUUAAUUAUCUAGAAAGAUUUUUUUUACAUUCGCUUUGUGAAUUCAUUCUUUUUAUUUAAAGACAUAUGCCAUUGCAUCAAUAAAAACUACCAUGUUCCCUACUCACCACAUGUAACCUUAAUUACAUACACAACGUGUCAACAACACGCAAAUCUGCGCAUUACUAACCUGAAAGAUACGCCAUGUUUUCAUUCGAUGUUUAUGAACAUGAUGAUGAAAAACCAUGCCAUUUUCGCGUGUCAAGAAGUACUUUGGAAACAAAUCACUCUGGAUUCGAACGCUUACUCAAAGAAUGAAACAGUUUCUCCGAAACCAUACUGAUUUCUACCACAUGGAUUUUUGGCUAUGUCUGCUUACCAAGUCUACGCGUAGUUUUUGUAUGGGUCGAUGGAAUCUGAAUCUGUUGUUGUUUAACAUUGCUCGUGGCACCGCAGUCACUCAAUUCUGACAUCGUGGAAUCUGGCCUUGGGACUCAAUCAGUGUUCUGUGUAUCCUUUUUUUUUUUUUUUUUUUUUUUUUUUUGUUUUUCUCUUUUUGUCGUUUCGAGUCUUUUGAUACUAACUGUAAUUUUAUCUUGAAAUUCUUUAGUUCUACGGUGCUUGUUCAAGAUACCUCGAUUGUGUCAUCAGCACGGAACCUCAACCUGCAAAAUAUCUCUCCAUAUUAUAGGCUUACGGAGGCAAGGCUGACAAGGAAACACCCGUGGGAUUAUCCGUUAUAAAACCGUAGAACUUUAUAGCCACUCACUGGUGACAUCAACCUUCAUCAUUUCACAAGCUCUCACUGUGCAAGUUUCACUGAAUGUGGACCAAAGCAGAAUGUAUCUGAGAUCUCAAAGCAGUAUUUGACGUAUUGAAUUGUUACUUUUCAGCCAUUUUAGGUUGACGAAGUUAGUUGCCUCAUGUGCCUAACUGUACCAGUGAAGGAGCCUCUUCGGCUGAGAUUUCAAAACAGUAUUCGACGUAUUGAAUUGUUACUUUUCAGCAAUUUUAGUUUGACGAAGUUAGUGCCUCAUGUGCCCAACUGCAGCAGUGAAGGAGCCUCUUCGGCUGGACACUCCGACUUCACAAUUUGGAGAAAAAGAAUGAGAAAGAGAGUCUAUCACCAAGUCUUUUUGCGUGUGCUUGUUCUAAGCAUUAACAUAUCGUCCAGGAAACUAGUUACAGGAUCAGGCUUUGCAGAAUAAUAGAACCACACGCAAUUAUUUGUAAUAGACAGCAAUGUACCAUGAGAACUACAGUUGCUGAAGAUAACGAAUACUACAACAAUUUCACCUCACUCUCUUUUCACUGCAUUCCCUACACGUUUCACAAUAGCUUUCCCUCUACCUUGAAAAUUGAUUCAAGCGAACGACGGUUAAAACCGAGGAGGAUGAGUUUGUUUCAAGAUUUUGCUGGUGGAUAAGUUGCACAGGCUCAUUUGUGCAAUGCUUCACUUGUUUAGAAAUUUAACCAGUAUGCACUGGUUAAAUUUCUAAACAAGCGACUUUAACGGGUCCAGCGGCACAAACAUGGCCUUCAAGAGAUUCAUGCACAAGUGGUCUUAAUGUAAAAAGCACAUAUCUGACAUGGGGAUUCACUUAAUCACAAGCCCAGGUUUUUAUAUAUUUUUUUCCUCUCACCUUUUCUCAAGAUUUCAUUACGUAUUUGUACUUCUCGUAUUCGACUGAUGCCUUCAAUAAUUAUAGCAGACAGAAACAAUUCUCAGGUGCUGCCGAAUGCAGUCCCCCAAAUGUAAUCAACUACAAACAAUUUUCUUCAUUCCCAGUUCUCACUACCAGCCACUUGGUAUUAUGCUCCAAUCGUUUCCUUCUAUCGAUAAUGCAAGAUGGUAGAUUUCUCCAUUCCAAUUGGGAAUGAUCCAUGCUGGUGUGUGAGCUUGAGUAGGUUAAGGUCAUGGUCACGAGCAUUGCUGUGAACUGCAAGUAGCGCCGUGAAGACGUCCAACCGUUGUGAUAUCUUUGGUUGCAGCCAUGGCGAUCUUGAGAGGCAGCUUGUGUGAGAUUCUGUAGUGACCACAUUGAAAAUAGCUUUUGUAAGUUGAGUUGGUUCUGUGUCUUUUUUUUUGAAUAAAAAACUUCAGAAAAUAAUAUACAAAGCUCAAUCGCUAUUAAAGUGGUUUGAAUGAAAUCCCUCGUUACAGAUUUCGCAGCUUGCUUUCUGAACGUCGUCACGGUUGCUAAGCAUGGAUCCCGCUGGGAGUCUUGGAGUGAAUCAAACCUUCGUCAUUCGACGGCAUACCUGGUGGCGAUCUUCUAGUGCGUGCUAAAAUCUUACCCAUGUGUCCAACAUGUGUAUAGUGUCCCCUCUUUCCUCCAUAGAACUUUUCCUUCAAUGUGUCUUUGUGAUUCACGUGGUCGUGGUCUACAGCCGUGGCCUGAUAUGUUUAAUAGUACCGCCUGAAUGUGAAGAUGGCAGAAAAGAUGACGCUCGCACCUGAUCAAUUGAGCCAGACCGUCAUUCUCAUAACUAGUUCGAAACAACGUAGCAGAAGGCAUUUCAAAGUGAAUGACAAAGUUAUGACCUCUAGCCUGGAGAAUAUUUAGAUGAGAAGCUAAGUUAACAUCACCCAAUAAGUAUCUAGACGCCCAGGCGCACGUCAUCUGGCAGGAAAUAAUUCGCCUGUCAGGUAUCCUGAUGCAAAUUGCAAAUCUAAUGAUGAGAUCAGGGUGGAACGCCAAUCAGUUCACGGUCAAUUUCCAAACUGACCUUUGUGUCUGCAUGGGGGAGUGGAGGCGAGUAAAUGGUUAACAGAGCAGUUAUUUCCAAAUAGAAAAAAUUAAACGCGUUAGAAACUAUUCUUUGUCUCCAGAGGUUCAACCAAUCUUUGCUGAACUUUACAUGCGUUCGUAGUUCUGAAUGAUGCCUCUUUUGUAGUCUUGGGUGGGAAAAAACUACAGUGAAGUAAACCCUAAUUUCAUCUCGCAGCCUCUUUUCUGAGAUGCACGAAUUCAACCUAUACGGUUGGCCUUCUUGCUGAGCAGGUAUGGCGAAUUUCUGCAGCAGUAUAACAGUUGCGAGACUUCAACGAAAUGUUUGUGUCACCAAUGAAUGGAGGUGGGGGACGCGUGGAAUCUAAUGUCCUAAGUUCAGCUCUCUUGGAGAAAUUUAACAUCAACCCAACUUAGUAUACCUAUCAGUAUUCAAGCGAACAAUUGCAUGUUUCUGCAAUUAUACGUGAGAUUUCCUUUGGGAGGCGACUAUCGGCUUGCUAAAGACUGGGAUCCGGAUGCUGUCCCUGAUGUUUGCAAAGUAGGCUGUAGAUAUUCUCUUCUCACUGACAUUGGAGCUAUAUUAGUGAGAGUAUUUUCGAAAUGUUUAGAGCAGCUGGACUCGUUUCCCAGUCUUGAAGAGCAGGGUAGAACUUCCAAACAUUCCAGACAAAUAAUCACUGCAACCAGCGACAUCUCGCAAAGUGUGACUGACAAACAUGGACGUCUGUUGCAGAUACGCAGAUGCAGAGGUUUUUAUCGAUGAAGAGCAGAAGUGAAAUAUUGAUUUCGUGUCUCAACAAAGCCGGGAGUGCUCUAAUUUUUGCGAGUGAUACACUUACUUUGCGCCUGACCUUCAAUAAGAACUUUUGAAUCGUCCAUCUGAGCUACACUUUGCAUUUAUGAGGUGGUGUGUAACAAUUAAACUGAAAAAUUUGAAGAAUGAACGCAUUAGGAUCUUAAACUACACAACAUGAACGGCUUUCCGAGUGAUGAAGAUCAUCUCGUCAUAUGAGUUCGGCAAUUGAACUGUGCAAGUCGGUUGUCAAAUACCUUAGUGCUGUGAGUGUUGCAACCCAAUCGCCAUGAAGGUUUACCUGAAUCAAUUCUCAUUACUGGUUAGUAUGAAUGUGUGUAAUUCCCAUCCUGUUAUUUUCCAACCGAAGACUUUUAACAGGCCACUCAAGGAAGUAUAAAUGUUGUUUACAUUAAAAAAUUGAUAAAAAAUCAGCAAUGAAUAACUACGACCCGCUUUGAAAUCUAAGCGUGUAUUGUCGUCCACCAUGUACUCGUGUCGGAAAUAUGUUCACUGUAGGGGGGGAGCUACUGCACCUAGUGACUCAGUACUUUCAGUGAAAGAAUUAACUGAGUCUGCAUCAAUUUGAUUGAAACAUAAAUUCCUCAUUUAUGGUCUGUAACUGCAUCCUUCGGUGAAUCACGCUGCAGCACUCUACUGGUCUAUUCAAAGUAGAUGGUGGCAAAUGGACGGGAGAUUUCUUACAGCGACAGCUGAUGGCAGCUGUAGGACAGAAGAUGGAUCAGUUUCCAUUGAAGCGGCUGUAAAUUCCCAAGGCGCUCAACCAGGGGCGCACACGGUGAUACAAGACUGGUAGAAGAUUUCGUGCUCCUUUGUUGUUCACCUUUUGGGAAACUCGGUUCAUCUCCGAAGACUGUGUAGAACGGUUUAGAGACUGGGUUUGAAUGAAGGUUUUACGAAGCAACCGUAGUGGAAUGGUGGAAGCAGAAGGUUCUGAAAACUCAUCAGUUGAAGGAUAAUGUAGCCAUGGCCGAUGCAAUGUAGAGAGAAAUUUUUAGCACAACGAGCCAUGGAGCUCAAGAUUGAGUCCACAGCUUGCCAAGAUCUCAAUGUUUGGAAGUUGGUUGCGACGGAAGGGAAGGAAGUGGACUCCCUGAACAACCUAAAACUUGUUCUGGUUUAGAUUGAAAUCUGCACCAAAGCACUCGCAGUCCUACAGCGACCAUGGCCUUACGUCGACAAACUUCGAGACUGUUUUUUGUAACUCUGCUCCUGAUUGUGCUAAUUGCAGUUGUAGGCGUGCGAGCCCAAACUCUUCUGAAGGAUUCCGCCUCUGCAAGCAACUGCUUGUUUCCAAAUACCUCCAGGAUCUCCACCACAGCUUGUUCCCCUAACGACUCCACAUCAAUGCUGUCCACAAUGCUGCCGUGCCAGCCAUACUUGGAUGAAGACGAGGAAGCUCCCAGCACCAUAUGCUGUGGAGCAGUGCGCAACGUCUCAACUUUUAGUAUACCGUGUCUGUGCAAGUAUGUGUUUUACCCCGCACCCAUCGUCAACCACACACGGGGGAGGCUCACGCCUGCCCUUUGCAAUAUGACCGCUGACUUGUGCCAUGACUGCGCUGCCUUUCUCGUCCCCAAAGACCCGGAUCAUCACUGGAACUCUUCCCAAGAUCAUUCAGGCAAGUACACAAUUCCUUCUUUCCUUAACUAGCUACGGAAGCUUUAGCUCGGUUACAUACAGAUCUUGCGUACAAAGCUGUGAGUAAACUAGCAUGGCCUAGACCAGCUUCAACGGAUAGAACGGCAUUCCAGACUGUUACGUUCUUGAAUUAAUUUCUGUGUUUAUGUUCUACGCUGCAACGCUGAACUACAUGUGGAAUGAGUGCAGAAGAGAAGAUUAUAUCAUACAGGAGGAAAGUGAUAGGACUUGCAGUUGUGCUGGGUUUUUCCAUGGCUUGCAUCAUUGUCGGCAUGGCGUUGUUGGUCCGGAAGAAACUCAAGCAACGAAAAGCUCUGACCCCAGUUCUGAAGACGGAGUUUCAGGCCAAGCAACCUGGCAGCGAUUACUGAGACGACCUAUCCUUGGACCCACUCUCAGCUCCCACACAGCAAGCUCAGAAUCUAUCUCUUGGACGCAACUCAAUCAACCAUCUGAUUCUCGUAACCAAGAGUCUCUCGCUCCAGGACCACCGAAGUGUGGGUUUUAGCUCUGCGUUCUGCAAGCUCAGAUGUUCACCAUGCGGCUCACGUGGAGCAGACCCUGUUGCAGGCAUCAGUCAUUGCCUGGAUUAGUUAACAGCAGUUGACAAGUAGUUAAGAAGCGCAGUCAACUACACAAACAUCAGAAGUCUUUGCAAGAUGCUGUAAUUUAGGUUCUGGAACACAGUUCUGCUCAAAAAUUUAAUUUAAUUUAUUUUAAUUUAUUUAUUUUUAACAGCUUGCUCUCUGGUCGUUGAUGCAUUAGAUUUCCCUAAUUUUAUUUUUAUUUCAGUAUGCUGUUUGAGUCUUGCACUGUCUGCUUGUGGAUUGUACAUGUAUAAGGAGAGGUGUUUUCUUCCAAUGAGCUUGUGGGUUCAUGGUCGGAAGUAAAGGGUGUGGAAUUGUUCACUUGUCAAGUGUCGGUGUUCGCAGAUCGUUGCAAAUGGAUAUGAAAGCUUCUGCUUCAAGGCUCUUUUGCAUUCAUUUUAAGAAAUUCGUUGUAGAAUAUUGUUAGAGUGGCCACUGAGGAAAAAAGAACAGUCAUGAGUGAGAUGUCAACAGUGUGGUUGUGGAGAAAUAUUUUGGGUUGAUCAUCUAUUUUGAAAAAAAUAAAAUUUUACAGUGCAAAGUAAAAUUUUAUGUUCUGUUUGUUGUAAGGAGUGAAGAAGUGUUGGUGUGUACUCCUAAUUUUACGAUUGAUUUUUAAAAUAUUUGAAUAAUGUAAAUAGUUUUUUUCUCAUAUAAAUAUCUGUUCAGGUUGAAUAGCCAAGUUUUAAAAUGCAUAUUUAAACAUGUAGAAUUUUUGAAAAUAUAGAUUGCAUCGAAUCCAUUAUAGCUGGUGGAACUUGUGCUACGAAAUCAACCAGCAAAUGAUAACAAAUGUGUUAAUGCAUUGCAUGUUCUGUGUACAUAUAUUACAUUUACACACUAUAAAACAAAGCAAAAUAUUACUUUUAAUAUAUAAUUAUAUAUAUAAAUAUAUAUAUACACAUACACAUACACAAAAUAGUUUCUAAACAUUUGUAUACAUGAUUUCUCUAAAAAACAGCAUAAUAUUAUGACAAAAAAAGAAAAAAGAAAAAAGAAAAAAGAAAAAUUAAUGUUUUUAUUAACAAAAUUUGAAAUAUCUUGACACAAUUUGAUAUUAUUAGUAUGUAAUAUUUCAAAUAAAUUUGGUGCAAGUUUAUUUAUUUAUUUAUUUAUUUAUUUUUUUUUUUGUAAAAUUACAUGUUAAUGGUAGUUAUAUUUUGAAAAUAUUAUCACAUCUAAUUUUACAAAAAUAUGUUAUUUUAAGUAAUUAUUAUGAUAAUAGUUUUAAAUUAAAUUUAAAUCUAUUUUUUUUCAAAUCCUAUUGUAAAGUUCUAUUAAAUUAUAGUUCUAUUAUAAACACAUUACAGUUUUAAUAAAACAAAAGCAAUUUAUUUUAUUUAAAUUAAAUAGAUUUAAUAUUUUGAUAUCAAACUUAAAACAAAACUUUAUAAUUGAUUAUAGAAUUGCUAUCUUACAUUAAUUUGAGCUUUAUGGAAUUAAUUCUAAGAAUACAAAUAUGCAAUUUUAUGCUUCUUAAAGCCUUAUAGAUGUUUAAUUGACUUUUUAAGUAUUUGUAGUUGAUUGGUACAUUAGAAACUUGGCCAAGAAGUUAGCCAUGUGUUGCAAAUAUUAGCCACUUGUGAUAGAAGUUUGUUAUGUAGUGCACAUGUAAAACUUGUUUUACAAAUUAGACAUUUGUCUUUCAAAUUGAAUACUUCUUGGAGAUCAUAUAGAAUUUUGCCACAUAGCUUUUAGUUAGAUAGUACAUAUAGAAGCAAGAGUGAUGCCUUCUUUAUUCUUAUCAAUGCCUUUUUUGUUCUUAUUCUUGUUUCAAGAGUCUUUAGUCUUUUUGUCUUUUAUAAUAGCCAUUUUAGUUUUAAUAUGAUGCUAUAUUUGAGUAAUUAAAUACUUUCUUUGAGUGAUAUAAGAGAAUAUUGAUUUUUGUAUUAUUUAUGAUUUUUUUCCUUAACAAUUUGAUAAGAGUGUUAAUUCUUAUUUUGUUUUAGAAGUGUGUAAAUUAUUCCACUUCUCUUAUUAUGCUUUAAAAGUUAUAAAAUAUCCACUUUUAAACUAAUAAUUUUUAUUAGUUUAACAUCAAUUUUUUUUUAAAGAAAGUAGAUUAUCUCUCUUUGUCAAAUUCUUCAUUAGAUACUAGGGGUUGUAGAUUAUUAUUUUUAAUUUAAAUUAUAAAUUUAUUAAAGUUUUUUAUCAUAGAAAUGGUAUAAAAAAUUAUUGAUGCUACUCUUUGCAAAAAUAAGUAUAGAUUUGCUAUAAUUAUAAAUUUUUAUAAGUUUAUUAAGAGUCUUAAGAUAGAAAUUUUAUAUAUUAUUAUUAGCAACAAUAAAAGUACUAUUUCCAUACCUAUAAAAGAAACUAAUAAUAAAAUCCAAUAUCUAUGCAAAAAAGUUAUGGAAUUAAAAAAAAACAAAUAGAUUAAUCUCUUUGAUGGAUAUACAUAUUUGUGCCUAUACUUACCUAGAUAAUAUGAAUAGGUAGAAGAAGAUAAAAGUAGAUAAUUUUGAUAAUGUCUUAUAGUGAAUCUUCUUACAAGCUUUUUAAAAACUUUAUAGAUGUAGUUUCACAUUUAUAUGUGUUUAAAGGUGAUUAGUAGGUUGAAUACUUGGCCAACAAAUUAGCCAUGUAUUGUACAUGUUAGUAGCUUAUGAUUCAAGCUAAUCAUAUAUUACACAUAUAACAAACUUGUCUUAUAAGUUAAGCGAUAUGUCUCAUAAAUUAGACACAUGUUACAGGUCCUAUAGAAUAUCACCAUGUAAUUCUUAGUUAUAUAUAUAUAUAUAUAUAUAUAUAUAUAUAUAAGAGUGAAGUUUUUUUUAGAAAUAGCAUUUUAGUUUUUUUUUAUAGUUUUUUUAUAGUUUUUAUUUUAUUUUAUUAUUAUUAUUUUUUAUGUAUAUACUUUCUUACUUCAAUCUUAUCAACUUUUGUUUAAAAAGACUCUCUUAUUUAUUUGCCUUCACUAAGUUUUUUUCUUUGAUUGAUUAAAAAGAGUAUACUUAUAAUAUCAAAGUAUUUUUUUUUUUUUUUUUGAUCAAGAGUGGAUUAUCCCUUUUUUUUUUUGUUGAUAAGACAUAAGCAUAUUAAAAAUUAGAGAUUAACUUUUUUUAAAUUAAUAUUAUUUUUACCAUAUUUUUUUAUUCUCAAAACUUCUCUUUUACUAGUCUUAAGUAAUAUUUAAACAUCUUCUAUUAUUUAAUAUUACUAUGAUAAGGCUUAUUUAAAUAAAGAAUGUAAUAGUACAAAUACAAGAGCAAUUGAAGGAAUUAUUGCUUGCAAUGCAUCAAUUCAAUUUAUUACUAUAAAAAGUAAUAAAAUCAACAAGAAGUGAAGAUAUAGAAAUGAUUGGAGCUGCUUCAAUAUCUACAUCAAAUCAUGUUACUUCUCAUAUGAUAGAAUAUAUUCAAGUAUUAAAAAACCAAAAAUUAUGUUGUAUAAGAAUUUUGAUGGUACAAGAUUAAAAUUUUGAGGAUUCAUUAAUCAAGUAUAAUUAGUGAUUGAACUUCAACCUCAAAGCUAUCGAAUUCUAAGAUCACAAGUAAAGUUUAUUGAAAUACUACUUUCAAGUUCUAUAUUAUUAUGAUUUUUAUCUUUUUUUGAAUAAUAUGAUCUAAUAUUAGAUACUUUUGAUACUUUUUUGAUAGAAUUUUGAUCCAUGUAUAAAAAACAUAAUAGAAUUUGUAUUACAACUAAUAAAAUCUAUAUUUUGUGUCAAAAAAAUUAAUCUAUAAUAUUAUUUGGUUUAUAAUUUUGACAACUUGAGACUAAUAUCAAGUAUCAAGGACAUGAAUUUCAAAGGAAAAAAUAUUCAAUAUACUCUUGUGUCACUUAAAAGAACUAGAAAGUUAAAGAUGAUAUAAUAUUAAACUAAAAUGGUGGUUGCCAAAAACAAGAAGACUAAAAACUCUUGAAAUAAGACUAAGGACUAAAAAGGCCAUGACAAGAGUGAAGAAUGCUUCACUCUUGCCUCCAUAUAUACUCUUAACUAGGAAUUAUAUGGCAAUAUCCUAUAGGACCUCUAAAACGUCUUAACUUUGUAAGAUAUAUUACAAGGCAAGUUUUUCAUAUGUAUACCACAUAUUUAGCUUGUUUUGUAAACUACCAACAUGUGGUUAAUUUAUUGACCAAGUAUUUAAUCCACCAAUCAUUUAUAAAUACAUAUAAAAUCAAAGUAGCAUCUACAAAGCUUCUAAGAAGCUUCUCUAGAAGAUAUUAUGAAAUUAAUAUACUUUUAUUUAUUUUUACCUACUUCUAUCUAAUUAUAUAAGUAAUUAUUAGAAUAUGUAUGUAUAUUCAUGACAUUACUUCUCCUACUAGGGAUAAAUUUCUUAAGGAGUGGCCAUCAUAUCUGGAUGAAAUUUAAGAUAUGAUAAAUCAUAUUUGCCACAUACUCUGAUCUUUGUUCUCUUCAAAGAUGGUUGAUAGAUCCUCUCAGCCAUUGAUAAUGUUCCAUACUAGUGAAAAAAAUACCACCUUGUUAUUUGAUCAUUGUUGAGGUCUUUAUAACUUCUUUCAAAUAAAAUAUUUGUGACACCAUCAAGAGUUGUUCUUAUCUCUAAUAAAAUCACCAAAUAUCGAGAGUCUCUUCCAAAGUCAUGAUAUCAAAUACAUUCUAUCAUGUCAUCUAUCUAAAGAAGGACAUGUUGUUCUUGAGGAUCUUCAUCUUGAUUAUGUUGACUUGAAGAUUGUGACAAUUAUAAUAUCUCAUUUGAUAAUUUGGCAAGUGAAAGUUUUUGGAUUGAAUCUAUUAGUUGUUGACUCUCCAUAUCUUUAGAGUUACAAAUACACAAAAGCUAUAAAAAAAGAUAAAAAGUAGAAUAUUUUCUUCUUUGGAUCUUGUUUCUUUUACAACAAAGAUUUGCUAUUCUUCAUCUUAAUUGUAAUGGAUGUUGUUGAUAAAAAGCUUCAACUUUCUUUGCUCUAUUUGUAAGUUUCUUUGCUGGCUUCCAUGUGUAUUUACUAAUUUUAUAUCCAUACCAAUAAACAAGAUAUUUCAACUUAUUUUGGCAUCGUCUUGAAUCUAAGACUUCUUCCACUUUAAAUUCUUGAUUAUUAUCUACUUCUAUAAGAGGAGGGGGCAUUUGUCUUUUUCUUGAGAUAUUCACUAUCUUAGAAAUAUCUUAGCUAUUUCUUUAUUUAUGAUAAAUUUUGUACAUGAUACAAAAUAUGCCAUUGUGGUAAAAAUGAUCUAUUACUACAAAUAUAAAAUCAUAUGAAUAUGGAACUGAAAGAUCCAUGAUAAAAUCCAUAGAAAUGGAAGAUCAUGUUUGUUCUAAAAUAGGUAAUGGCUAAAAAAGUCCAUAAAAUCGAUGGUAUAGAGUUUUGGAUCUUAAACAAAUAUAGCAUGAUUGUAAAAAGUCUUUGACUACCUUUCAAAUUUGAAGCGACUAAAAAUCUCUUGAUAUUAGCUCCAAAAUCUUAUUGUAUCCAAAAUAUCUGGUUGCUAGAAAAUUAUGACAAGUUUGAAGAAUAUGUAAUUUUACUCUACCUUUUGGAAUGUACAAUCAUCCCUUGAAAUAGAAUAGCUUGUUCUUAAACUCAAACUUAAAAGUAUCAUAAGAUUUAGAAGAAUUAUUCUUAAUAUCAUGAAUAAGAGAAUUAGACAACAUACUUAAUUGAAUUUGUUUGACAAAGAUUGAAUCAAUAAUCAAUGUUGAUUUUAUUUCUCAAAGGUGAAAAUACUCUGACUUCAAGAAAAUCAUUCUUUGUUGAUUUAAAGAUGCAUUUCUUUCUUUUGGUGCUAGAUAAGAACAUCUAAAAAAGAUGUUCAACAAACCUUGUUGUUUUUUGAGUCGUUUAAUAAACUUGAAAUCAAAUCUUGAUAAAAACAUGCUCCAAUAAACUUGGCAACAAUUCAAAAUACAUGCCAAUAUGAAAUACUUAAAAUUCUUGUGAUUUGUUUAUAUGAUGAUUGGAUUUCACGUGCUUUUUAGAUAAUGAUGCCAUUCUUAAAAUGAAUCCACAAUUAUAAGGAGCUUUUUGUUAUAUAUUUCAUAAUUAAUCUUAAUUAUUGAAUUUUUUUUAGAAUAAAAAGUUAUUAGAUGGAAUUUAUCAUCUGCUUCUAUUUGUGAUAAUAUUGCACUUAAGACAAAGUUUGAUGUAUCUAUUUCUAUGAGAAAUGCCUUAAAGAAGUCAACACAAUAUAAAAUUGGUGUAGAAAUAAACUUUUUAAAGCAUCAAAGAAUGCUUUGGCUUCUUUACUCUAUCCAAAUUUGUCUUUACAAGUCAAAGGUGUAACUAAAGAUACAAUUUGAAAAAAAUUCUUGAUGAAGAUUUGAUAGUAAUUGACAAAGUCUAAAAAGCAUUGCACAUCUUUUAAUGAUCUUGAAAUCUUCCAAUCCAUAAUAGUUUGAAUCUGCUUUGGAUCCAUUAUUAGCCUUUUGUUGAAAAUGAUGUAUCUUAAGAAGUUAACUUGAGUAGUAUAGAAUAUAUAUUUUUCUAACUUUAUAAAUAAUUUUGUAUCUUUAAAUUUUUGUAAUACAUGACAAAUAUGAACUUCAUGCUCUUCUAUAUUCUUAGAGUAGAUUAAGUUAUCAUGUAAAUAAUAGAUAACAAAAUCAUCAAGAAAUUCACAAAUUACAUCAUUCAUUAGAUGUUGAAAAGUGGCUGGUGCAUUUGUGAGUCCAAAAAGCAUGACAUUAUAUUAAAAAUAUCCAUACCUAGUUUAAAAUGUAGUUUCCCAUUCAUUUCCUUCUUUAAUGUGUAUUAAAUUAUAUGCUCAUUGUAGAUCUAUUUUUGUAUAAAUCUUUACUUGAUUGAGUUGAUCAAGAAGUAAUAAAAUCAAAGGUAAAGGACAUCUAUUCUUGAUAGUGAUCUUAUUGAGUCCUUGAUAGUCUAUAUACAUUCAUAAAGAUCCAUCUUUUUUCUUUAGAAAUCAGAUAAGAGUUCCAACUAGAAAUUUUAAAAUGGCAUAUGAAAUUUUUAGCCAAGUUUUUAUUAAUAUAUUCCUUAAGUAAAAUCAAUUCGUUUUGCGAUAAGCUAUAGAUUGGUACAGAUAGUGGUUGAGCUUCUUCUUGAAGAUUGAUGGAACAAUCAUAAAGACAAUGCUCUGAAAGAACAUUUGCAUUUUUCUUUUCAGAAACAUCUUGAAAAUCUUGAUACUAGUUAGGAAUAUUAUUUGACAUCUUUUUAUCAUAAAAAAUAAACAUGGCAUAUAUAGCAAAAGAUAACCCUUCUUUUGCGGCAUGUAUGAAAGCUCUUGCACCUACUAGUAAAGAUUUGGAUGUAAUAGACUUAUGUAUUUUUACUUGAUUAAUGGGAUUUUGGAUUAAACUAUCAAAAAAAUUAAGGUUACAAGAAAUCUAAUCUAUUUGAAGAUUAUAUUUUUUUAACCAAGAUAAUUCUAAAAUAAUGAGAUUAGAUAGAGAUCUUAUUACGUUAAAUAUUAUUAUAUUAUUAUGAUUUUUAAUUAUUAUAUCUAAAGGAAUAAUCUCAUACGUAAUAUCUGUAGAAGAUAGUACACAACUAUCUAUGACUUCUACAUGUAUAGAUACAGUUUUUUUGCCUAAUAAUAUUUCUUAUUUUAUAACAAAAUCUUUAUUUUAAAAAUAGAUUGAGGCUCUUGAAUCUAAUAAAAUUAAGACUUUGUAAUUUUUUGGUCCUAAAUAAACUUUUAAUAUAAAAAAAUGAUGAGUUUGAGGAGAGAAUAGAACCUUUAUUAGGAAUUAUAUAAGAUUUUAGCCAAAUAAUUUUAAUAAUCAAUUAUUGUAUGCAAUGGCUUGAGUAAUUAAUUAUUUGAAAGAUUUUAUCUUUGGUAUUAUCAAUAACAAAUCUUUGACAUUAUCCUUCAAUUCAUAUUGAAAUUGAUUGAUAAGGGCUUUGUCAUUCCAAUCCACAUUGCAAAUGAGGUUUUGGAAUUUAGUAGCAUAUAUGGUAUAAAAUAGGAUUGGUCUAUGUCAAGUAUUCAAAACUCUUUUAAUCCAUAAUAAUAUAAAACUUCAUUACAAAAUAGCACCAAAAUGGACUAGAACAAAACUGAAUUAAACUUAAACAAAUAAGACACAAAAGAUAAAACUAAGAAACUAGAAUUAAAAAAAAACAAAACAAAAUAGGAAGAUACAAAAUCAAAUUUUAUUAAGAGAAAGGAUUUAAAGCAAUACCUUACUAGAUGCCCCAAAAGAUCCUAGUUAGUCAUAUUUAUACUUUAUUCUAUGACCUUGGACUUUCUAAAAUAUUCUCAAAUGAUGGACUCCACUUAAAUAACUGCCUUAAAUUCCUUCUAAUUUUUUUUAUGAUGGGCCCUACUUAGAUAACCUUUCUAAAUUUUUUUUAGAAUGUUCUAUGAUGUAUCCUACCUGGCCUACUAAUCUAGCUCCAAUUCUAAAAACUUCCAUAACUUCUCAAAUAUGGUUCCAACUAUUUAUCCCUAUGUGUCCAUAAUACAAAUAUCUUAUCUAUAUUUUGUUAUAUGGUGGUUGACUGUGAUCUUUGUCGUAAAAAUAAAAGCUUUGUCUCUACUACUUUUUCUUGAUUACUUUCUUCAAAUGUGGCUAUAAAUACUUCUAUGAAUGAAUUCAAAUCAUAAAAAAGUCACGAAUCUUUUUCCAUUAAAAGGUGCAAAUCAAGAAAGAGCACUUCUUCAUAGAAGUGCACUUAUGAAUCUGAUUUGAAUAAAUCCAUCAAGGUAUUGAAAGGGAUGGUAUCUUAAAUAGAGUUUGACUUAUUACAAAAAUCCUUAAAAUUAUAAUCUUGUUCCAUCAAACUUCUCAAGCAUAUUAAUCCUUAUCCUUGUUAUAUUUGUAGAAGAAAAACUAGAUUUGAUUGUGAGGUCAAUCUACUUACUUUUUUUAAUUACAUAACUUCUUGAUAUAGAUUUUGAAUUUUUUUUUAUAUAUAUAUAGGAAUAGUACCUCUAUAAUUCAUAUUAAAAAUAUAUAAUAUUUUUAUUCUUAGAGUAUUGACAAGCUCAUAAAGACCUAUAAUAGUUGCAAAUUUAUUCUUACGUUUACUGAAAGUAGCAUUUAUGAUCUUUCUUUCUAUGGAUAAUUCAAAUAAAUUCAAAAAAUUAAAUUAAAAGAGGGUAAUUUAAAAUUUCUAAUAUCAAAUAAAAAUAUCCAUAAAGAGAAAUAAUCUACUUUCUUUUAGGAAAAGAUCAGUAUUAGAAAACAAAAUUGUUUGUUUAAAGGUGGAUAGUUUACAACCUUCAAAAUACAAGAAUAAAAGUGGGAUAAUCCACUCACUUCUAAAAGAAGAUAGAAAUAUUAAAUUAGCACUUUUGUCAAACUGUCAAGGACAUAAAUCUUGAAAAAAUAAAUCUUCAAUAUAUUCUUGUGUGACUAAAAAGAACUAAAAAAGUCACUUAAAGAUGAUUAAAUAUUGAACUAAAAUGGCUAUUGCCAAAAACAAGAAAACUAGAAAGUUUUGAAAUAAGACUAAGGACUAGAAAAGCCUUGACAUGAAUGAAGAAGGCUUCACUCUUGCCUCCAUAUAUACUCUUAACUAGAAACUAUAUGGCGAUAUUCUAUAAGACCUCAAAAAUUUGUUAUCUUUUCAAGAUACAUAUUUUAACUUGCAAAGUAAGUUUUUUUAUAUAUACGCCACAUAGUUAGCUUGUUUUGCAAGCUAUCAAAAUAUGAUUAACUUAUUGAUCAAGUUUUUAACCUAUUAAUCAACUACAAAUAUAUAUAAAGUCAAAGCAGUAUCUAUGAAGCUUUUAAAAAGAUUUUCUAGAAGGUAUUAUAAAAUUAAUAUACUUUUAUGUACUUUUAUAUAUUUCUAUUUAAUUAUAUAGGUAUUUAUUAGAAUAUAUAUGUAUAUCUAUGACAUCAAGUAGAAUGAUGUUGCACUCAUUAGUUAAUUUAUCAUAAAUUAUAAUAUAAUGUAAAGAAAUUGAUACUCAACUUAUUUGAUUCUCAAACAUUAAAUUAAGCAAUUGACUUUUUUGUGAAUUAAGAUAAUUGGAUUUUUAAAUUUUAAUUUGAAGGUUGUAUAAAUAGGCAAUAAUAUUAUUAUAAUUCAAUGACAAUGCCAGCAUCUUUUUAAUACAUACAUUCAAAAAUAAAAGAUAUAUAAAUUGAUGUGAUAUAUUUCAAAUUUCUUAUUGAAUAAGAAAAGAUUCAUUGUUAUUAAAAAUUAUUAUGUUUAUAUUAUGGAGAAAUUAAGCACAUUGUUCAACAUUAUUCAAAGUAGCAAUGUAAUUAUAAAAUAAAAAGUAUGGCUAUCAAAAAAGACAAUAUGUCAAAAAAUAAGUUUGUCCAGCUACAAUGGAGAUUGUGUGUUUGGAAUCUUAUAUAACAUUUAAUAAAAACCUUAUCUUUUUCUUAUAACCUUCUACUUUUUUUACAAUAGAUGUUAGUUUAGGACCUAAAUAUUAUAAAGCCUUGACUUUAUUAGCUUCAAGAGCCUCAUCUUGUUUUUUAGAUGAAGAAUUUAUUACAAGACAUAGUAUAUUUUUAAUGAAGAAAUCUUAAUUUAUUCUUAUAAAAGUCAUAGAUAAUCAUCAAUUAUCUUUUAGAGAUAUUAUUCAUGAAUUCUUUAGUAUAGAAGUAAUAAUUAAUGGUUAUAAUAGUUUUAUAUUAUUUAAUAUCAUUAAAUUUUCUUUUAAUUUAAUUAUUUUAGAUUUAUAGUGGUUAAAAAAAUACAAUUCUUAAACAAAUUGCAUUUCUUAUAGUCUUGACUUUUUUGAAAUUAUAACUAAGAGUGUUAUUAAGUAAGUAUAAAGUCAUAAAUUUAAUACAACCAAAUUUAUAUUUAUAAGUACAAGAUCUUCUUUGCAUGCUACAAAAGAAAUUUCUCCUUGUGCUAUUUAUGCCACAUCUAUUUCUACUACUAGAAUGACUUCAAGUGGCAUUCUAAAUCAAUAUUAAGAUUAUUAAUUUAUUUUUGAGAAAAAAAUAUGAUUACUCUUUCAAAAUAUUAUUCUUAUGAUUGCUCAAUUAAACUUCAAAAGAAAAAUCAACCACCAUUUGGACCAAUCUAUAAUUUAUUAUAAAAUGAAUUGGCUAAAGUUAAGAAAUAUAUUGAAGAAAAUCUAUCUAAAAAUUUUAUAUGCUAUUCCAAAUCUCUAACAGGAUCUCUAUUUCUAUUUGUGAAAGAAAAGAUGAAUCAUUGGAGAUAUAUGUCAAUUAUUAAGGACUCAAUGAGAUUACCAUAAAAAAUAGUUACCAUCUACCUUUGAUAUCAAGACUUCUUGAUCAAUUGGAUUAAGCUAAGAUUUAUACAAAAAUAGAUUAUAAUAUCAAAAAAAACAUACAAUUUGAUGUAUAUCAAAUAAAGAGAUAAAAAAAGAUUAUAUAUUGAAUUAAGUAUAGAUAUUUUAAAUACAAUAUUAUGCAUUUUGGACCUAAAAAUAUACUUGCACCUUUUCAACAUCUAAUAAAUGAUAUCUUUUAAGAGUUUUUGGACAAUUUUAUUAUCUAUUAUUUAGACAAUAUUUUAAUCUAUUUUAAAAACAUUGAAAAAUAUGAACUUCAUGUUUGUUGUAUAUUGCAAAAACUAAAAGAUGUAGGACUCUAUGCUAAGAUACAUAAGUAUAUAUUUCACACUAUUCAAAUUAACUUUUUAGUAUAUAUCUUUUUAAAUGAUGGACUUACAAUAGGUCAUAAAUAAAAUUCAAACUAUCAUGGAUUAAAAGAUUUUAAAAAUAAUAAAAGAUAUUCAAUAUUUAUUAAAAUUUACUAAUUAUUAUCAAAUCUUUAUCAAUUUUUUUUAAAGUUAUAAUUCUACUUAUAUAUUUGACUUAUAAAGACAAACUUUAGUAGAAUUAAAAUCAAAAGCAAUAUUUGAAGCUUUAAAGAUAACUUUUGUUUGUAUAUCAAUCUUAUAUUGUGUCAAUUUUUUUGAGUAAUUUUUUUAUGAAAAUAGAUGUAUUGGACUUUUUUUUAAAUGUUGUAUUAUUAAAAAUAGGAAAAAAUGAUAAACUUCACCUAAUAGCAUUUCAUUCAAGAAUAUGUUUAGCAACCAAAAUCAACUACAAGAUCUAUAAGGAAGAACUUCUUGCAAUUGUAGAUUCAUUUCAAGAAUAGUACCAUUAUCUAAAAGGUACUUUUAGUCCAAUGACUAUGUAUAUGAAUUAUAAUUAUUUUAAAUAUUUUAUGUCAAUAUGUAUUUUGAAUCAUUGCUUAGUCUAUUAAAACAUGUCUUUGUCAAGAUUUAAAUUUAUAAUCACUUACUAGAUAAAAAAUAAUAAAUUUAUCAGAUAUCCUUUUUGGACAAUCUUAUCUUGCAUCUAAAGAAAGAAAUGUGGCUUUUGAUUAAAAACAAAUAUUUCUCUUGAAACUAAAGUAAUUUCAUUUUUAAGCAAUAAAAUUAAUGAUAAUUGUUGAUAUAAUUUUUUUCAAGCAAGUUCAAUCAAGUAUGUCUUCUAAUCAUCUUAUUUGUGAUAUUAAAGAUUUUUUUUUAAAAUCACAAGAUACUUCCAAGUUUAAAUUUAAAAACAAUCUAUUCUAUUUUAAGGAUUUCUUAUAUAUUCUAGAAGAUGAAGCAUGAUCAUAAGUUCUCUAAGUUCAUCACAAUUUUUGGAUAGUGGAAUAUUUUGGAUACAACAAGUUUUUGGAAUUAAUAUCCAAAAUUUUUAGUUGCAAAUAUAGAAGGCAAUCAAAGAUUUUUUACAAUCAUAUAAUAUUUAUUCAAGAUCAAAAACUCCUUAUUAUCAACCUUAUGGACUUCUUCAUCCAUUACUUAUUCUAAAACAACCAUGGUCUUUUAUUUCUAUGGAUUUUAUCACAAAUCUUUUAGUCUCAAGUUCUUAUGACUCUAUACUUGUAAUAGUAGCUUUUUUUACUAAGAUAGAACAUUUUGUACCAUGUACAAAAUCUAUCACAAGUGAACAAAAAAUUAAGCUUUUUCUAGACAAUAUAUAUUGCUAUUAUGGAUUGCUCAAAGAUAAAAUAUUAGAUAGGGAGAUUCAAUUUGUAUUAAGAUUUUAGAACCUCUUUUUAAGAUUCUAAAGGUAGACAUAAAACUAUCUUUGGCUUUCAAUCCUCAAAUUGAUGGACAAACAAAGUGCAUAAAUAAAGUUUUACAAUAGGAUUUGAAGUGUACCAUAAACUACCAAUAAGAUGAUUGAAUAAUUUUUUUCCAUUAAUAGAUUUUAUUUAUAAUAAUAUAAUAUAUUUUUUUAUUCAAUAAAUAUCUUUUUUUAGUAAUUAUGAUUUUUUUACUAUAAAAUAAUGAAUAUUCAAUGGAGAUUGUAUUCUAUCUAUUAUUUUUUAUUAUAAAUUCUUUGUAUUUUGUGACACUAAGAAGAUAGAAAAUCUUCAAUUGGCAAAUUCAACUCAAGAGCCAUAAUUUGUUGAAUUAUUAAAUAAAAUAUUAUAAUUAUUAUAGCCUUCAAGAUGAAAAAAUCAAGAUAAAGAUUUUUAAAAAUGACAUAUAUUAUUUGGCAAAUAGAUGGCAAGUUAUAAUAAAUUUGGUAUUAUGACAUUGAAAGAAACUUCCAAUAUUUGGUGAUUUUAUUAGAUGUAGAAAUAACUCCUAAUGAUCUAAUAAAUAUUUUAUUUAAAAAAAUUUAUAAAUAUUUUAAUAAUGAUUAAUUAACAAGGUGGUAUUCUUGCAUUGAAAUGAGACAUUAUUAAUAGCUAAGAAGACCUAUCAACUACCUUCAAAAGAAAAAAACAAUCAAAGUAUGUAAAAAAUAUAAUUUAUUGCAUCUUGAACUUCAUCAACAUGUAAUUAUUGCUCCUUUUGGAACUUAUUUCUAGAAAAAGAGAUAAUUUUAUUGAUAUAUAUAUUUAUUCUAAUAGUUACUUAGAUAAUAUUAAUGGAUAGAAGUAGAUUAAAAUAUAUUAAUUUAUAAUAUCUUCAAAAAAAACUUCUUACAAGCUUUAUAAAUAUAAUUUUAUUAUUAUAUAUAUCUAUAAUGAGUAAUAGGUUAGAAACAUGGCCAACAAGUUAGCCACAUGUUGUAUGUAUUAAUAGCUUUUGGUAUAAGUUAAUACUGUGGUUCAAGUAUAGAAAACUUAUAUUGCAAGUUAAGACAUGUAUCUUGUAAAUUGAAUACAUGCUAGAGGUCCUAUAGAAUGUCGCUACAUAGCUCUUAGGUAGAUAGUAUAUAUAGAGACAAGAAUGAGACCUUCUUCACUCUUGUUAACUUCUUUUUUGCUUCUAAUCUAGUUUUAAGGAUCUAUAAUUUUCUUAUCAUUUGGCAAUAGCCAUUCUAAUUUAUUUUUUAAUAUAUCUACUUUUUUAUUUCUAUUUUUUUAUCUUUUUUUUUUAAAAAGUUUUACUUCUUCAUUUAAUUUUUUUGAGUUCUUAUCCUUUAAAAUUCCAUGCCAUCAACCUUAUAGACUUUUUUAGCUAUUACCUAUUUUAAAAUAACCAUGGUCUUUUAUUUCUAUGGAUUUUAUGAUAGACUUUCCAGUCUUAGAUUCUUAUGACUUUAUAUUUGUGAUAGAAGAUCGUUUCACCAAAAUAACAUAUUUUAUAUUAUAUAUAGAAUCUAUCAUAAAUAAAGAACAACUAAGUUUUUUCUUAACAAUAUUUAUUAUUAUCAUGGAUUGCCUAAAGAUAUUAUAUCAAAUAAAGAAACUCAAUUUGUAUCAAGAUUUUAAAGAAGUCUUUUUAAAAUUUUAAAGAUAGAUAUAAACUAUCUUUGGCUUUCCAUCAUCAUAUUGAUAGACAAAUAAAGUACAUAAAUAAAGUUUUAAAGUAGUAUUUGAGGUGUACCAUCAAUUAUCAAUAAGAUGAUUGAAUAAUUCAUUUGGCAUUGGUAAAGUUUGCUUCUAACAACAUCGUACAUCCUUCUAUUAAAUUUUUUUUUUUAUUACUAAGUAUGAUUAUCAUCUAUAAUUUAAUACUUUUGACUAUAUAAAAUUUGAUAAUUCCAUAGCAAAAAAAAUGACAAAUUAUUUAUUUCAAAUACAUACAACAAUAAAGAUAUAUUUCUAAAAAAUAACUCAAGAAUGACAAAAGAUUAACUCAAAUGCCUAUUGUAAAGGAUAACGUCAAUUCCAUGUUGAUGAUAUGAUAUAGUUAUUUUAUUGUAAUAUCAAGAUUAUUUGCUCAUAUGAUAAGUUGGAUUACCAUAGAAUUAAAAUAUUUUCUAUAAUUUCUUAUUAAUUAUAUCUAUCACAAUCUAUGAAGAUCUAUUCCAUAUUUUAUAUGUCUCUUUUUUACAUUAUAAGAUAGUGAAUAUCUCAAAAAGAAAAAAAAUACCAUUGUCUUCUAUAGAAAUAGAUAAUAAUCAAGAGUUUGAGAUAAAAAAGCCUUAAACUUGAAGUGGCACUAAUUUAAGUUAGAAUAUAUUAUUCAUUGAUAUAUAUAUAUAUAUAUUUGUGCAUUUACAUGGAAGCAAUAAAGAAUCUUGUAAAUAUAUUCUUUUUGAGUUACAAAACAAUGUUUUGAGGUUUUUUUUUGUUUUGAUUUAUGUCUUUGAUAGUUUGACAAUAGUGCUUAUUCAUUGUUCUUCUCUUAUUUUAGAAAUGAGUAGAUCACUCUUGUCCUAUUGUUAUAUUUUGAAGAUUGCAAACUAUCUACUUUUAAACAAAUAUUUUAUUUUUUUAACAUUGAUUUUUUCCUUAAAAAAAUUAAAUCAUCCUCUCUAUAAAAAAAUUUAUGUAACAUUAAAUGUAGCACAUUACCUUCCUUUAAUUUGACUUGUGGAUUUACUAAGUUGUUUAAAAUAGAAGAAAAAAUCAUAGAUGCUAUACUUAUAGAAAGUGAGAAUAGAUUUAUAACUAUUACAGAUUUUCACAAGCUUGUCAAUAUUCUUAAGGUGGAAAUUUUAUAUAUCAUCAAUACCAACUACAAAAUUAUUAUUAUUACACCUAUGGAAGAAGUUUAGAAUCUAUACUAAGAAGUUGUGGAAUUAAGUGAAGCAAAUAGAUCAGUUUGACAAUCAAAUUCAAAAAGACUCACUUCUACAAGUACAAGAGAAGUAAGGAUUAAUAUGCCUGAAAAGUUUGGUAGAAGAAGAUCAAAAUUUGAAGAUUUUUGCAACAAUUCAAGUUCUAUUUAAAGUUGCAUUCUUCCCAAUAUCUUGAUGGAUUUACUCAAGUUAAGUUCAUUCAUGCACUUCUAUUUGGAAGUGCUCUCUCUUGAUUUGUACCUUUGAUGGAAAAAGAUUCACGACUCUUUUAUGAUUUGAAUUCAUUCCUAAAAGUAUUUAUAGUGAUAUUUGGAAAAAUUGAUCAAGAAAAAAUAGCAAAGACUAAGCUCUUAUCUUUAUAAUAAGAACCAUAAUCAAUACCAUAUAUGUUAUUGAAUUAAAAAACCUUGCUUGUAACAUAGAUUGGAAUGACAAAGCCCUUAUCAAUCAUAUUUAAUAUGGAUUGAAGGAUAACAUCAAAGAUUUAUUAUUAACAAUAUCAAAAGUACAUUCUUUGAAAGAAUUUAUUGCUCUAGCUCUUGUAUGCAACAAAUGACUAUUUGAAUAGUGUCAAGGAUAAAGAUUUGGCUAGAGAGGAAUAAGUCAAAUAUUGAUGGUAUCAUAUUACAUGUAUUUUUGCUUAAAAAUGCAUUGAAUACCUAAUUAUAGAAGGUAAGUAGAAAUGCAACAAUAAUCCUAUUAAAUCUAAUAAGAUCUUAAAUAAAUUUUAAAUAAAUCUUAGUAAUCAUAAUCAAACUUUGAUCAAUUUAAAAUAAAUUUAAAAGAAGUUAUAAAACCUUAAUUUAUUUCUUAAUUGAACCUUAAUCAAAGUUUUUCUUUUAUAGUCCUAAACUGAUCUCAAAAACAAAAAUCACAAGAAUUAUUUAAAAAAUAUAAAAAUAAACCUUUAAAAGAAUAAUAAUAAUUUUAAAAAAUAUAUUAGAAAUAAAUUUUUUUAAAGAAUCAAUAAAGAAUCGUAAAUAAAUAUUAAAAAUAAAAUAUUAAAUAAAUCUGAAUCAUACUAUAAUUUAAUCCUAGUUAAAAUCCUAAUGAACCUUAAUCAAAUCUUAGAUCAAACCUUAAUUUAUUUCUUAGUUGAACCUUAAUCAAUUCCUAAAUAAAAUCUUAAUUAAAAAUCCAAUUGAACCUUAAUCAAAUCCUAAGUCAAAUCUAAAAUAAAAUCCUAAUGAAUUUCUAAAUUCUAAACAAAUCCUAAAUCAAAUCCUAAGUAAAUCCUAAUCAAAUUCUAAAUCUUAAAUAAACUCUUAAUAAAUCUUAAAGCAAAUUAAAACUACAACAAUUAAUAAUCAAACCAUUGAUAUUAACUUAAUUUUUAUAUACGUCUUAAUAAAUUAAUUAAAAAUAAGCAAAAAUAAAGAUGAAAUUGAUCAUAUCUACCAAUUAAAAAAAUACAAUAUAAUCUAAUUAAGUCUUAGGUGGCCUUCUAUUCCAAUCUAAAUAUUAAAAUUCUAGUACCAAUAUCUCCUUCUUCAUCUGUUAAGGACAAGAACUCGAUAAAAAAGAAAUUCAGACAAAUGAGCCUUCAUUCAAAGAAAGGUAAUAAAAUAUAAAUAAACAAGUAUGUAUAUUGAAAAAGAAACUGGAAUGGCUAUUGCCAAAAGACAAGAAAACUAGAGAUCCUUGAAACUAGACUAGAAGCAAGAAAAGAGUUGACAAGAGUGAAGAAGGCUUCACUCUUGUUUCUAUAUAUACUAUCUAACUAGGGGCUACAUGGCGACGUUCUAUAGGACCUCCAAUAUGUAUUGACUUUGUAGGACACAUGCUUUGACUUACAAGGCAAGUUUUUCUAUGUGUGGGCCACAUAGUUAGCUUGAUCUUCAAGCUAACAACAUGUGUGGCACAUGGUCAACUUGUUGACCACGUUUCUAAUCCAAAAAGUCAAUUAAAGAUACCUAUGAAGUCAAAGCAGUAUCUAUGAAGCUUCUAAGAAGCUUCUAUAUUAAAUACUAUAGAAUUAAUUUACUUUUACCUACUUUUACUUACUUCCACUUAUUUGUAUAUGUAAUUACUAGCUUACAUGAGUAUGUUUGUGAUAUUACCCCCUCUUCUAGAGACGAGUUCCACAAAGAGCCGUCAUCAUAUGUUGAGGAAAUCUAUGAUGCGAUGAAUUAUAUUCGCCACAUACUUUGAUCUUUGUUCUCUUCGAAGAUGAUUGAUAGGGCCUCUCAACCAUCGGUAGUGUCCCAUACCAGGGCGGGAAGACCACCCAAUUAUUUGAUCAUUGUUGAGGCCUUCAUAACUUUCUUCGAAUAGAACAUUUGGAACACCAUCAGGAGUUGUUCCUACCUCUAGCAAAAUCACCAAACAUCAAGAGUCCCUUUCCAAAUCAUGAUACCAAAUGCGUUGUAUCUUGCCAUCUAUUCGAGGAAGAACAUGUCAUUCUUGAAGAUCUUCAUCUCGAUUGCGUCGUCUUGAAGGUUGUGACAAUCGUAAAGUCUCAUCCAGCAGGUCAGCAAAUGAAGGCUUUUGAGUCGAAUCCGUUGGUUGUUGGUUCUCCAUCUCCUAAGCAUCACAACUACAAAGAAGCUACGAACAAGGAUUGAAAGUAGAAUGUUAUCUUGUCUAGAUAUUAUUUCUUUUAUAAAGAAGGUUUUUAUCUCGAUUUUGAUGGAUGUCGUUGAUGAAAAGCCUCAACCGCCUUUGCUGCAUUUACAAGAUUUUCUAUUGGCUCCCAGGUGCGUUGUCGUGUUGUGACAUGACUAUAUGGUGAAAAUAUGACAAAAAAAAUGAUAUUUUAAUUAAUAUUCUAUUAUCAUGGUUCAACAAGCAUUCAAUAUAUUUUACAAGGCUUUUUAUAAAAGCCUCUAAUCCUAUUUUCUUCACUUAAUAGCUAGUAGAUAAAAACUAGUUAGUAAUUUUACCUUCUAGGUUGUAGUAACUUUUUUAUUGCCUUAGAAAGGCCAUAAAAUGAUAAAAAAAGGAUAAAAAGGAUAAUUUAUUAGCAUGGUUGAUACUAGGGUUAAGUUGAGGGUAGGAUCGGGCUAUAAAACCACUAGGAUAGAUUAGAUUGAUAUCCGGGGGUCGGCCGGAUAUGAGACAGGGUCGAAAUCCGACCUCCAGCCACUAAAACGGCCACCUAGGACAAAAUAUGGGGGGUUUUUUCAGAUCGGGUUUUUGGAUCGAAGAGCUAGCUUCAAGUUCUUUUCAAGGUUACUAGUUUGGUUUCAUUAGGAUUUGUGAAGAGAGAGCAAUCGCUGCUCAAAGUCAAUGUUUAUUUUGGUAUUUCGGAUUUUAUAUAAAACAUUGAUGGUUUGCAUUCUCAAUCGGUUUGUGCAAGUCGUCUAGCAUCUAUGGGUCAAAAUUUGGUAUUGUCUGGAUAGUUGGGUGUGCUAAGUGUACACAAAUUUUUUUGUUAAUCUAACGAUGCAAUUAAGAGAUAUCUGGAUUUUAGUACAAAGGGUUGUCGGAAGUUGGCAGUCUAGGGUUGGAUAGGGUUUUUGUGAUAUCUGAAGAUCUACUAGUUGGAUCGAUAUAAUUUUUGGCUUAAUAAUAGAAGAUUUGGAGAUCAAGCGGCUAUUCAAUUUUGAGCUGGAGUUAACGGUUGACAAAGGAGAAAACACUUCUGGAAUUUCUACAUCAAAUUUCAAGGUUGCGGCCGAGUGUCAUCAGUGCGGUUUUUGGGCGUUUUCUUGCAAUUUGUAAGUUGGGUUGGGCUGAAAUUUUUUGAGCAUAUAGAAGGCUUAUACUGGUAUUUGAGUGCAAAAUUUCACACUAAGUGGACGGUUGGAUCAAAAGUUACAGCUUGUCAAAGCUCACUGGCUAGGGUUAGGGCUUGUUAAGAAAAACAAAAACAACUUAAUUAUAAAAGAAAUAAAGCAAUUGGAAUAUUGUAUGGUUAAAAUGACUAUGAGGAGUGUUUUUAAAUACUUGAAAAUUGAUAUUUCAAUUAUAUUCUUCAUACAUGGAUAAAAUCUAUUAGGGUUUCUUUGUUAUUUGCAAAAACAACUAUACCUUCCACAGCCAGAUACCCAAUGUAUUCCCGAACAAGACAACACGUAAUACGACAUAAGUGGUGAACUCGACGUGAACGUUUGGGGUGGAAGGUAUUGGAUUUUGUAUGUGGUUAUUUGGAUUGAUGGUGCAAGAUGACAAGGUUGAUUUUAGAGUUUUUGGAAGACUUAGAGCUUUGGGGGAUAUUUUGAAAAGCAAUGGUGAUAUUUGGAUUAUUAUGGAGUAUAUUAUGGCUUUAUAGACAUCUUGGGGCAUUUUGAGGUAUCAUAAGUUAUUUAUUGGAACAUUUCAAGGAAUAUUUUUUUAAUAUUGUGGAAGAAAAUGGAAGAUAUUUCAAUGUACUCUUUGGAUAGGUUGAAUACUUUGGAUGGACCAAAUGUUAAAGAGUUUUUUGAGGCUUUUUGUAUAUUCAUGGAAGAACAACAAAAGAUACAAGCAAUUGAAAGGGAUAUCACAAAGGCAUUACAAAGAAUUUUCAACAAAUUUGGGAAGUUUAACGGAUGUAACAUCACUAAGUUUUUACAAGUUUAUACAUGUGAGAUGGAGACAUGCCAAAUCCCUGAGGCAAAGAUGAUUUUAAGCUUUUAUUUGGCUAUUGAACUUGGGAUUCAUAAAAAGGUGAAGAGAUUACUUGAAAGGGGUGUGGAGACAUGGUCAAAAUUUCAAGAACUUUUGAAGAAAGAAUUUAUUGAUGCAAAUGAGGAUAAGAUUAUCAAGCGACAGUUUUUGGAUUGGAUAGAAUUACAACCAGGCACGCAUAUGGAUCUUUAUGAAUUCUUGAAAGAAUUUGAAAAGAGGUUUUAUCAACUUUCAUCCUCAGAGAGACAGUCAUUGGAUGUUAUAAAAAUAGAAUUAUUUUUAAAUGGUCUUGAUGAUGCCAUGGGAGACAAACUUUUUAUACUUCUUGCAGAUGAGUCUAAGGAAAGUGGUUGUACUAACAAUUGGGAAGAAUUGAAAGAAGCAACAAUUCUUUUAGCAAAGCAACAAAGAGCACAAGCUAAAAGAGUUGGAGUAUGGUCUAAGAAAUCUUCUACUUUGGCUUCUAUAUCAUCUUUAUCAAUACAAGGGAUUAAUCUUGAAAAAAGAGAAAUGAAACAGCAACUAGAGGACUUCAAAGGAGGAGCCAAUUUUUUGCAAAUGAAAGAAAGUGGAUCUUUUAUCAAGGAUGGUGAAGGAAAGAACAAAGACUUUGAUCAAAUUAUUACUAUGGAAGGUCAAAAUAUCAAAAAAAUUGAAGGCAAUAUGGAACUCAAGGAUUUAGAAAUUAAUGACAAUAAAGAUGAAAAUUAUGGCUAUUCUACAUUAAAUAUGUUUAUGCAAGUGGAUGAUGGAAAUUUGGAUGGAACAUCUCAUGGUGGUAAAAAAAAUUAUGGUGAAAGUUGCAAGAUUUUUCAAGAACAUGAGGUUUCAUAAGGCUAUGAAAUUUUUCAAUAUUAUGAAGUAAUACAACAUAUUGAGAUAACAUAAGGUUAUGAUGUUUCACAAGGAUGAAUUUAAGAAGAAAUGAAGGAUGUUUUACAAGGAUACAUUCAAGAAGAUAUGAUAGAUAUUUCAUAAGAUAAUGUGGCGAAAGAAGAUUAUGGAAUCAAAGGUAAAGGUACUAAAUCAAUAGCUUUAAUCAAGUUAAUUGUGAGUACUAAUCUUUUGGACCAAGAUCAAGGUUACAUGGAUAAUGCACAUGUAUUGGGGGCACAAUUGGAUUUUGAUAAGAAAAAGAUUCAUCAUGAAGUGUGGAAUUCAAAGGUUGAAAAUCUAAAAAAUCUUCAAAUAUAAAGACAUGGGUAAUGGAUUUAAGGAUUAUAUGGACGUCUUAAAUCAAGCAUGGAAUCAAAGGAACAAGAAAAAAGAUGCAAGCAAGAUGUAUGUGGCCAUAUGGAAGAAGUUUCAAUUAAAUCUUUCCAUUUCAAAAUUUGUACCUCGCCAAUGGUUUGGUCAUGUACAAAGUUGGAUGUUUCCAAUUUACUUGUACAAGAUGGAUACAUGGAUUUUUGGUAUUGGAUAAAGAAUAAUGGUGUACUGAAUUUGGCACAAACCGGAGGAUGUGCAGGUUAAGAGGGGGUGGAUGUUGUGUUGUGACACGACUAUAUGGUGAAAAUAUGACAAAAAAAAUGAUAUUUUAAUUAAUAUUCUAUUAUCAUGGUUCAACAAGCAUUCAAUAUAUUUUACAAGGCUUUUUAUAAAAGCCUCUAAUCCUAUUUUCUUCACUUAAUAGCUAGUAGAUAAAAACUAGUUAGUAAUUUUACCUUCUACGCUGUAGUAACUUUUUUAUUGCCUUAGAAAGGCCAUAAAAUGAUAAAAAAAGGAUAAAAAGGAUAAUUUAUUAGCAUGGUUGAUACUAGGGUUAAGUUGAGGGUAGGAUCGGGCUAUAAAACCACUAGGAUAGAUUAGAUUGAUAUCCGGGGGUCGGCCGGAUAUGAGACAGGGUCGAAAUCCGACCUCCAGCCACUAAAACGGCCACCUAAGACAAAAUACGGGGGGUUUUUUCAGAUCGGGUUUUUGGAUCAAAGAGCUAGCUUCAAGCUCUUUUCAAGGUCAUUAGUUUGAUUUCAUUAGGAUUUGUGAAGAGAGAGCAAUCGCUGCUCAAAGUCAAUGUUUAUUUUGGUGUUUCGGAUUUUAUAUAAAACAUUGAUGGUUUGCAUUCUCAAUCGGUUUGUGCAAGUCGUCUAGCAUCUAUGGGUCAAAAUUUGGUAUUGUCUGGAUAGUUGGGUGUGCUAAGUGUACACAAAUUUUUUUGUUAAUCUAACGAUGCAAUCAAGAGAUAUCUGGAUUUUAGUACAAAGGGUUGUCGGAAGUUGGCAGUCUAGGGUUGGAUAGGGUUUUUGUGAUAUCUGAAGAUCUACUAGUUGGAUCGACGUAAUUUUUGGCUUAAUAAUAGAAGAUUUGGAGAUCAAGCGGCUAUUCAAUUUUGAGCUGGAGUUAACGGUUGACAAAGGAGAAAACACUUCUAGAAUUUCUACAUCAAAUUUCAAGGUUGCGGCCGAGUGUCAUCAGUGCGGUUUUUGGGCGUUUUCUUGCAAUCUGUAAGUUGGGUUGGGCUGAAAUUUUUUGAGCACAUAGAAGGCUUAUACUGGUAUUUGAGUGCAAAAUUUCACACUAAGUGGACGGUUGGAUCAAAAGUUACAGCUUGUCAAAGCUCAUUGGCUAGGGUUAGGGCUUGUUAAGAAAAACAAAAACAACUUAAUUAUAAAAGAAAUAAAGCAAUUGGAAUAUUGUAUGGUUAAAAUGACUAUGAGGAGUGUUUUUAAAUACUUGAAAAUUGAUAUUUCAAUUAUAUUCUUCAUACAUGGAUAAAAUCUAUUAGGGUUUCUUUGUUAUUUGCAAAAACAACUAUACCUUCCACAGCCAGAUACCCAAUGUAUUCCCGAACAAGACAACACGUAAUACGACAACGUUCACUAAUAUCAUAUCCUUGCCAAUGGACAAGACAUUCUAAUUUAUUUUGGCACCGCCUUGAAUCUAAAACUUCUUCUACUUCAAACUCUUCAUUAUUAUCUACUUCUAUAGGAGGAGGUGGAGCUUGUCAUCUUCUUGGUAUGUCUACUGUCUUGUAUAGUUCAAGAAGAGAUACGUGGAAUACUGGAUGGAUUUUCAUUGACUCCGAUAGAUGUAGACGAUAUGCAAUUGGAUUGAUUUGUACAAAAAUAGAAAAUGGUCCUAGCCUUGGAUAGUCCAACUUGUGACAAAGACGAGUGGUCUUGAUAUUAUGACGAAGAAGCCAUACCUUAUCACCUAAGACGAAUGAUAGUUGUUCCUUUUGAUAGACAUCCGUAUUGAUCUUUUGUUGUUCUUGAGCCUCUUUUAACUGCGCCUUCAUUGUUGCAUGUAGCUCUUAUAAAUGAGUCGCCAAAUCUUUUGUAGUAGGAUUAUCAACUUUUGAAAAGUCAAAAGUAUCAAGUCGUAGAUGAUAACCAUAAUUAGUAAAGAAAGGUGUUUGUUUUGUAGAAGAAUGUACCGUGUUAUUGUAAGCAAACUCUACCAAUGGCAAAAGAGUUGUCCAAUCAUCUUGUUGGUAAUUAAUGGUACAUCUUAAAUAUUGCUCCAAAACUUGAUUAACACGCUCCGUUUGUCCAUCAGUUUGAGGAUGGAAUGCUGAAGAUAGUUUUAUAUCCACUUUAAAAAUCUUGAAAAGAGUCCGCCAAAAUCUUGAUACAAAUUGAGUUCCCUUAUCUGAUAUAAUAUCCUUGGGUAAUCCAUGAUAGCGAUAGAUAUUGUCAAGAAAGAGCUUAGUUGUUUCUUCACCUGUGAUACAUUUUAUACGUGGUACAAAAUGUGCGAUCUUGGUAAAACAAUCUACUAUCACGAAUAUAGAGUCAUAAGAACUUGAGAUUGGAAGAUCCGUAAUGAAGUCCAUAGAAACAGAAGACCAUGGUUGUUUUGGAAUGGGUAAUGGCUGAAGAAGUCCAAAAGGUCGAUGACGAGGAGUUUUUGAUCUUGAGCAAACAUCACAUGAUUGUACAAAAUCUUUGACUGCCUUCCAUAUUUGAGGCCACCAAAAAUGCCUAGAUAUCAGCUCCAAAGUCUUAUUAUAUCCAAAAUGUCUUACUGCUGGAAAGUCGUGAUGAGCUUGAAGAAUACGUAAACGUGCUUCUCCUUUUGGAAUAUAUAGGCAUCCUUCGAAAUAGAGUAGGUUGUUCUUGAAUUGAAAUUAAGAGGGAUCAUGAGAUUUAGAAGAAUUAUUCUUAAUAUCAUGAACUAGAGGGUCUAAAGACAUACUUAAUUGGACUAACUUAAAAAAAGUUAAAUCAACAGUCAAUGUUGAUUUUAUUGCUCAAAGAUAAAAUUGCUCCGGCUUCAAGAAAAGCGUUCUUUGUUGCUCAAAAGCUGCAUCUCCUUCUUUUGGUGCAAGAUAAGAACGUCUAGACAAGGCAUUGGACAAACCUUGUUGUUUUCCUGGUCGAUAAGUGAUGAUGAACUCGAAUCUUGAUAAAGACAUGCUUCAACGAGCUUGAUAACAAUUUAAUAUGCAUGCUGACAUAAAAUACUCAAGGUUCUUGUGAUCCGUAUAUACGGUGAUUGGAUUGGAAGCGCCUUCUAGAUAAUGAUGCCUUUCUUGAAAAGAAUCUACGAUUGCAAGAAGUUCUUUGUCGUGGAUCUCAUAAUUAAUUUCUGCUACUGAGAAUUUUCUUGAAUGAAAGGCUACUAGAUGAAGUUUGUCCUCUGUUCCCAUUUGUGAUAAAACCACAUCCAGAGCAAAGUCUGAUGCAUCUAUUUCCAUAGAGAAUGCUUUGGAAAAAUCAACACAAUACAAGAUUGGUGCAGAAACAAACGUUGUCUUCAAAGAUUCAAAAGCAACUUCUGCUUCUUGAUUCCAUUGGAGUUUGGCUUUACAAGUCAAACAUGUGACAGGAGCUGCAAGUCGAGAGAAGUCCUUCAUGAAGAUUCGAUAGUAGUUGGCAAAUUCCAAAAAACAUUAGACAUCUCUUACCGUUUUUAGGAUCUUCCAAUCUAUAAUAGUUUGAACUUUCUUAGGAUCCAUCAUAAGUCCAUCAUUUGAAAUGAUGUAACCUAAGAAAUCAACUUGAGUAGUAUAGAAUAUACACUUUUCUAUCUUGGCAUAGAAUCCUACAUCUCUUAAUUUUUGUAAUACAUGACAAACAUGAAGUUCAUGUUCUUCUGGAUUUUUAGAAUAGAUCAAGAUGUCGUCUAGAUAACAGACCACAAAAUCGUCUAAAAAUUCUCGAAAAAUAUCAUUCAUUAGAUGUUGAAAAGCUGCUGGUGCAUUUGUAAGUCCAAAAGGCAUGACAUUGUAUUCAAAAUGUCCAUACCUAGUUCAAAAUGCAGUCUUCCAUUCAACUCCUUCUUUGAUGAGUACUAGAUUGUAUGCUCCCGAGAGAUCUAUUUUUGUAUAGAUCUUAGCUUGAUUCAACUGAUCAAGAAGUUCAGAUAUUAAAGGUAGUGGAUACCUGUUCUUGAUAGUAAUCUUGUUGAGUCUUCGAUAAUCAACACACAUCCGCAAUGAUCCAUCUUUUUUCUUCACAAAUAGAAUUGGAGCUCCUGCCACAAAUUUAGAAUGGCGCAUGAAAUUCUUGGCUAGAUUUUCUUCAAUAUACUCCUUGAAUUCAGUCAACUCAUUUUGUGAUAAACUGUAGAUUGGUCCGAAUGGCAAUUGUACUCCUUCUUGAAGGUCAAUUGAGCAAUCAUAGGGACAAGGUUUCGGGAGUGUAUCUGCAUUUUUUUUUUUCGAAUACAUCUUGAAAUUCUUGAUAUUGGCUUGGAAUGCCACUUGAAGUCUUUCCACCAGUAGAAACAGGUGUGGCAUAAAUAAUAUAUGGUGAUUCUUUCAUAGUAGCAUGCAAGAAAGCUUUUGUAUUUAUAAAUACGGGUUUAAUUGAACUAGAAUUAUGACUCUCUACUUGAUUAACCACACUAUUAGUUAUACUUUUAGAGAAAGUAAGAGUUCGGAAAAUCCAAUCUAUUUGAAGGUUGUAUUUUUUUAACCAUGAUAAACCUAAAAUAACUGGAUUAGAGGGAGAUCUAAUGAUAUUAAAUACUACAAAGCUAUUAUGACCAUUGAUUAUUACUUCUAUAGGAAGGGUUUUGUGAGUAAUAUUUCCAAAAGAUAAUGGAAGACGAUCUAUAACUUCUACAUGAACAGGUUUAGUUUUCUUUACUAAAGAUAUGCUAUGUCUUUUAGUAAAUUCUUCAUCUAAGAAACACGUUGAGGCUCCUAAAUCUAACAAGGCAGAGGCUUUGUAAUAUUUAGGUCCUAAAAUAACAUUUAAUGUAAAACAAGGAGAGGGCUCUAAGGAGAGAAUAAGACCUUUACUAGAUGUUGUGUAAGGUUCCAGCGGCACAAUCCCUAUUAUAGUUGGACAAACUCGUUUUCCGACAUAUUAUCUUCUUUCACAGCCAUACUCCUCAUUUUGUGAUUACGUCAUUUCUUUGGACAAUGUUGAGUAGUGUGCUUUGAUUCUCCACAAUAUAAACAUAAUCCUUCUUGACAACGACGAGUCUUUUCUUGUUCAAUAAGAGGUUUGAAACGUACUGCAUCAAUUUGCAUAUCCUCUACUUUCGAAUGCAUGUGUUGAAGAGGUGUUGGUGUUGCCAUUGAAUUGUAGUAACGUUGAGGUUGGUUCUCAGAUCAGAAUUCAAAAAGGCGAUUGUUGCACUUCACAACAAAGUCAAUUGCUUGACUCAAUGUUUGAGGAUCAGGUAAGUUGAACAUUAAUUUUUUUUACCUCAUAUUAUAAUUCGUAGAGAAAUUGGCUAAUAAGUGUAGCAUCAUCCCACUUGAUAUCAGUUGCAAGUUGUCAAAAUUGUGAAGUGUACAACGUUACUGAUCGAUUACCUUAUCGUAAAAUACGGAUCUUAUUGGUUGCAAUACGAAUUACAUCAUGUUCUCCAUACAUGGAUCGAAACUCUGCUAGAAAAGCCUCUAAAUUAUCUAAUAUUGGAUCUCAUCGUUCAAGAAAAGAUGAAAACCAUGAUAGUGCUGAACCUGAAAGAAGCAUAUCAAUGAAUCUAACUUGCGAUCCUGGAGUUGGAUAGCUUUGGGGUUGCAGUUCAAUCACAAGUUGCACUUGAUUGAUAAAUCCUUGAAACUUGGAUCUGAUGCCAUCAAACUUCUCGGAUAGGAUAACUCUUGGUUCUCUAACACUGGAAGGGCGUUCCACCAUAGGAGAAAGGACAUGAUUUGGUGCAGAUGUUGAAGCAGCUCCAACCAUUUCUAUAUCUUCACUUCCUGUCAAUCUUGUUGCUCCUUGUGGUGGUAAAUUGAGUUGAUGCCUUGCAAGCAUUAACUCUUUCAAUUGCUCUUAUAUUUAUGCCAUUGCACUCUUCAUUUCAACAAGUUCUACUAUGAUAACACUUAGAAAAGAGAAGAUGUCUAAAAUCGCUCAAGACAAAUAGAAGAGAGGACUUGAGAACAAAGAAAAUACUAAAGACAAUAUCAGUUUUGAAGAGGGUAAUCUGCAACUUCUAAUAUGCUUAUAUCUUAUCAAAAAAAAGAAGUAACCCACUCUUAAUCAAGAUUAGAUAAAGCUCUGACAUUGUAGGUGUACUCUUAUCAAUCUGUCAAGGACAAGAACUCGAUAAAAAAGAAAUUCAGAUAAGUGAGCCUUCACUCAAAAAAAGAUAACAAAAUAUAAAUAAAUAAGUAUGUAUAUUGAAAAAGAAACUGGAAUGGCUAUUGCCAAAAGACAAGAAAACUAGAGACCCUUGAAACUAGACUAGAAGCAAGAAAGGAGUUGACAAGAGUGAAGAAGGCUUCACUCUUGUCUCUAUAUAUACUAUCUAACUAGGGGCUACAUGGUGACGUUCUAUAGGACGCCCAAUAUGUGUUGACUUUGUAGGAUACAUGCCUUGACUUACGAGGCAAGUUUUUCUACGUGUAGACCACAAAGUUAGCUUGAUCUUCAAGCUAACAACAUGUGUGGCACAUGGCCAACUUUUUGACCACGUUUCUAAUCCAAAAAGUCAAUUAAAGAUACCUAUGAAGUCAAAGCAAUGUCUAUGAAGCUUCUAGAAAGCUUCCAUAUUAAAUACUAAAGAAUUAACUUACUUUUCCUACUUUUACUUACUUCCACUUAUUUAUAUAUGUAAUUACUAGCUUACAUGAGUAUGUCUGUGACAUCAUCUAUUCAAUUCCUCUCAAAUUUUAUUUAAAUGUUGAAAAUUAAGUUUAAUAUCCAUACAAAAAGUUACACUUUAAUCCAAUUGACAAAUUGCUGAAGAUCUUAGAAACACUCAAUGACCCUCAAACUCCAAUAUUUGAGACCUCAACCCACAAAAAUCUUCAUAUACUUCAAUCUAAUUCUUUGAUUGAUCUCAAAAUUUGUAUACAUAUUAACAAAUAGCACACCAACAUAUUGCAUAAGUUUUAUCUAUAUACACACCAUAGAAUUCAAGAAAUCCUUAAAUUUAUAAACAUAUAUUAUUUCUCAAAUUCUAAUCCUAUCAAGAAUACCUCUAACUUUGAAAAUCCUUCAAAAUCUCAAUAUUGAUACAAAUGACAUAAAACCAAUAUUUGAUUUUUUUUCUUCAAGUCUAUCUCUCAAGUCUCAUUCUACAAUCUCCAAAAAGAACUUAGAGUAGCCAUAUAGUCACAAUUAUAUACCUUAAGAUUUGAUUUUGAUCCAAGUAGACAAUCGGUCUUCUUUUAAUAUCAUUUGAUAAUUUGAGGUAAGUUUUGCUUUAACCUAUUAUUUAUUUUUUCUUAAAUAUGUCCAUAUAAAUUUCUUAUCUCAUUUACUUUGAUUUGGCUCAUUUAUGUCUCUACAAAGUAAAUAGAAGUUCCUUCUAUAAAAAACAACAUUAAGACUAAAUCUUUUCCUACCUUUCUAUUAUUUAUCUUUAUUUUUCUACUACAUCUUUCUAUUAGAUUCUUUAAUAAUUGCAUCUAUAUUUUUAUUUUUUACUAUAUAAUCAUAUUACUAUACAAUAACAAUAGCUUGUAAGUUUUUAGCUACUUAUUCAUCAAAGAUAAAAUCAAUGCAAAUUGAUUGAGUACAUUUUGAAUUCCUUAUAAAGCAAAAAUAGACUUGACAUCAUUAAAGGAAACGGUACUUAUAUUAUGUAGAAACUAAAUAUACUGCUCAGCAUUGUUCAAAGAAGCAAUAUAAUUACAAAAUAAAGAAUACGGUUGCUAACGAAGAUAAUGUGUCAAAAAAUAAGUUUUUCUAAUUACAAUAGGGAUUGUGUGGCUAGGAUCAUGUGCAUCACUUAGUAAAGGACCUAUUGAAAUAGGACCAGUCUAUCUCAAGAGUUUAAGAUGCUUUUAAUCUACAACAACAUAAAACCUCAUCACAAAGUAGGACAAAAUGAAGCAGAACAAAAUUAUACAAAAGUAAACAGAAUAAGACAUGCAAGACAAAAUUAGACAAAUAAAAAUAAAAAAAGAACAAAAUUGAAUAGAAAGAUGUAAAAUCAAAUUUUACUACAAGAGAAGGUCCAAAGCCAUAUUUGACUAAAUACCUACAAGACCCUAAUAAGUCUUAUUUAUACUUUAUUCUAAUACCUUGGACUUUCUAAAAUGUUCUUAGAUGAUGGAUCCCAUCUUAAUAAUUGUCCUAAAUUCUUUCUAAAAGAUUCCAUCAUAGGCCUUACUUAAAUAAUCACCCUAAGCUCUUUUUAAAAUGUUCCAUAGUAGAUUCUAUAUACUGGAGUAAUUUAGCUCCAAUUCUAAAAACUUCCAUAACUUUUCAAACAUGGUUCCAACCAUCUAUUCUUAUAUGUCAACAAUACAAAUAUAUUAUCUAUAUCUUGUUACAAUUAAUCUCUAUCUACUAAUAUGGAAUAUUCUUAUUUUUCUUCCAAUAAUAUCUCCAAAUUGUCUCUUGGUAAUAGGUGAGGUUUUAUAUAGGUUUCUACAUUGCAUUGUGGAUGGAAUAACCUUUUCAAAGAACUUUGUACUAAAGUUGUAGAUGUCUACUGCCACGAAAAAGGUAGAAAUGCUCUAAAAUACUAUUUAUUUCAUAUUCUUAUUGGUCAUCAAUUAAAAUUGGUGGUUAGUGUCGAUCUAAAAAGUGCUUUGGCUCAGUAUGAAAUUCUUUUAGUUGCAAAACAAGGAAGACUAGAUAGACCUAAAUAUAUCAAAAAAGCUCGAAGCAACAUGUGACAUAAAAAAUUAUUAUAAAAAUGCAGAAAGGUCUAAGCCACUGAGAUACUAAUUUAUGGAUUUGGAUUGAUGUAGCAAGUGGCGAUUUGACAUUGGAGAAUAAUACCUGAUCACCCUCUUAGAAGGCCUUGUAUUGUUGGUAGUUAUCCAUAUACUGCUUUUGUCAAUUCUAUGCAAUAAGGUAAUAUUAUGCCUCUUGUAAGGCCACUAUAAGUUGUUAUAUAAAUUAUUCUAUUAUUGAAUUAUUGGUGUCAAUGGGACAAUAGAGAGUUGCUAGCAUAAUACGAUACUCAUUGAUAUUAAAGAAAAUUGGUGAAUGAUUGAUACUUAUUUAAAUACUAUCAUUGUAAGAAAAUUCUAAGGGUGUCAAAUAUUCAUUCCAAUCAUUAUAAUGAACUAUAAUAAAUGCUUGUACCAUAUCUUCCCAGGUUCAAUUUGCAUGCUCUGUUUAUCGAUCUGUUUAGAGAUAGAAGGUUAUAGGUAUGGCAAGUCAUGUACCUAAUACCUUGAAUAAAGCUUGCCAAAAACUUCACAUAAAAUAUGGAUCUCAAUCUAAAACAAUGACACAAGGUAAUCCAUAGUGAUAAAAGACAAUAUCAAAAAAGAUCUUUACAAGCAUUGAGGCAUUAAUAUCUAAGUUUAUCUUGGCCAAAUGAAGUUGCUUCAAGAGUUGAUCUACAAAGACGGCAACUACAAUGUGAUUAUAAGGUGUCUACAACAAACUCACAAUAAGAUCCAUAGUCACUUGCUCUCAAUGUAUUGUAGGUAGUAGAAUUGGUUGUAAUAGUCUCAAAGAUGUUGUGUUACAUGUUUUAUUAUGUUAACUUAAUUUAUAGAAGCACACAAAAGCUCAAACAUUACAAUCCAAAUCUGUCCCAAAUCAUGUCUUUGAGAUCCAUUCUAGAGUCUUUUUUCACCCUUGAUGUCUAGAUAUUGGGAUGUCAUGUCCUUCAUAAAGUAUGCAUGUCUAGUAUAGGACUGUCAGGUACAUAAAUCUGCUUCUUGAAAUAGAGCAAGCUAUCAUUAAGACUGUAAUCUUGAUAUUGUAUAUUGUCCACCUUCAGCCAAUCACAAGCCAUCUUGAAAUAAGCAUCCAAAUGCAUAGCUUUCUUCUAUUUUGUUUCUUUGGUUAGGUUUGAAAUAAUACUACUAAUGGUAGCAACUUCUACCUUGUCUCCCAAUUUGACCUUCAAAUCUGGUCUUUACAAUAAGUUUUCUAGCAUAAUAUAUUGUCGUCCUUGCUUGUAUUCAAGCUAGAUAUCAAAAACAUUGAAACUGUUCUUUUCAAUGAUAAUGUCAUAAUUUUAUAUUUUUUAGAUAUAAAUUGUGUAGCAAAGAUCGAUGGUUAAUUUGAACAACCACUCAUUUUUCUAACAAAUAGUAUCGCCACACCUUUGUGGUGUAUAUAAUUAUUAAUUAUUCUUAAUCUUAUAUAGAAUGAUUACAUUUUACUCUUCUAAGCUUGCAUGAUUCAUGUGCUAUAUGUUGAAGAUUCCAAAGUCUUGUUGAAAGAUCAUUCUAAUAGCAAAGUUAGAAGCAUCAAUGUCAAGUAUACAAAAGAGGUUGAAAUCAUACAUUUGCAAUAUUAGAGCUGUAAUUAGUAUGUCCUUCAACCUAUCAAAGGAACUUUACUAUUCCAAUUUUUAUUUAAAUGAAGUAUCUUUUUCCAAUAGGUUUGUCAAUGAAACAACAAUGUGUGCAAAUUGCUAAACAAAAUGGCGAUAAUAUCCAACAAGGCUUAAAAAUGAGCGGACUUCAGAAACAUCUUUGGAAGUUGGCAAAUCUUCUAUUGCUUUUGUCUUAUUCUACUCCAUGUACACACCUUUGAAAGACACAACAUGCCCUAAAAAGGUGACUUUUGACUUCCAAAGUUUAAAAGGAGGUACCUCGAUCAAGAGGCACGCCACUAGGCAAGACAAUUGAGAAGGCAUCUUGAUAUUAUUAUAUAAGUUGCUUUGUUCAUUCUAUUCCUUUGGCUAUCUUUUCCACCACUGAUGUAAAAUUUGAAACUACUAUAUAUACUAAUUACUUAUACUAUAUUUGUUUUUUCAUAAAUGUCAUUCCUACAAAUAAGUCUUUAUUUGCAGAUUAUUUUUUCUUUUCACUCAAUGUGGAGAUACAAAGAAUCACCUUGCGUCGACUAUCUUUGAAAGAAAUUGUCUUUGCUACCCAAUUAACUUACUUAUUUUUUACUUCUAGCUAUGACAUACCAAGGAUAACAUCAUAUCUUAGCUUUGUUUCCUUGAACCUCUCUCUUAAGAUGUAGGUAUCAGUCAACCUUAAGAUUUCUUCUUCACAUCUCUCGUUUAAUACAUUCACUUAGUCAUCUGUAAGGUAUAUACUACUUCUUCUAAUUACCUUAGUUUUAAUCCCAAGUUGGUCAAUAAUUUCAGUCGAGAUGUAAUUUUUCAUAGAGCCACAAUCCACAAGUACUCAACAUGGCUUUCUUCUUAGCAAUCUUAUUAGAUGCACUAGUUGAUUCUUUUUAUAAUUGUAUGAGGCCAUGCCAUUUGUCUUUAAAAGAUAGUAGCUUUCCUAGUAUUAGCCCCCAAUGUCUCUAUUAGAGAGCCUUUUUUCUUCCUUCUAUUUUAUUAUUGACUUGGUAAGUCUUGAGACUAUAAAUCCACCUUAUUUUUUUGGUGCUUGAAUUUUUGACAUUUUGAAUAACCUUCAAUCUGAUGGCCUAGAUCUCAAUAUUAGAAAUAAAAUCUCUUUUGCACUAAUAUUUUUUUGUCUUUAUGGUGUCAAUGAUUCUUGUAGGACAUCAAUCUCCAUUGAUGUUGGUUACUAUGCCAUAGUAUUAGAUAGCGGCAUAGAUCUUUGUGUUAUAGGUUGAAUUCUAUAAUUUUUGAAAUCUAUAGCUUACACUUUUGCUAUAAUCCAAAUUGCCUCUUCAAAUGUUUGUGAAUCUUUUAGUUCCACCUUUCUUUGGACCACAAAUUUUAAACCUCAUAGAAAUUGAUCUAUCAUCUCUGCCUCUAAAACUUUACCAAUUUGGAAACAUAGAGACUUAAAUCAGGAUACAUAAUCUUACAUUGAUCUAGAUUGUCUAAAAUUUGCCAAUUGAUCACAUUAUAUAUUUUUGGCAUUGAUGGGCCAAAAUUGAUUCCUAAAUUCUAUCUCAAAUUCCUUUCAAUUACAAAAUCCACCUUGAGUUCCAUAGCUUUAAAGUCAAUGUUGCUACCAAAUGGCUACUACAUCUUUCAAAUAGCUCGCUACAAAUAUAAUUCCUUUAGAGAUAUUUACCUCAAAUAGUUGGAAGUAUUGUUACAUAUUAAAGACGCAUUGAUAUAUAUCUUUUUGUCUAAAAGUCCUAAAAUACGUACUAUAAUUAUUCAAUUUUAGCCUAGCAAAUGUCAACUCUCUUGUCCUAAAGGCUUCUAUUUGUCCUUGUAAAAUAGCUAUUUGUCCUAAGAGAUGCUAUAUUUGAAUCUCUACCUAAAAUUACUCUGCUAUAUCUUCUAUGUUGUAAUUUCCUAGUAGGCUCUACUAUUGUAAUGCCUUCUUACCUUCCAAUUGACUUUUUAAGAGUAGUUUAUGGUAGCUCCAAGAUAAUAACUAGUGUGAUUACAAUAAUUGAUCUCAAAUUAGAUGAUGAUUAUUUGUUAGGGACAUAUUCCUUAGAACUUUCUAGAGAGAAGUUUCUAAAACCUUCUAGAAAACAAGCCUCUGGAACCUUCUAGAAGAGAAGCCUCUGGAACCUUUUAGAAAGAAGUUUCUAGAAGCUUCUAGAAAGGAAGUCUCUGGAACCUUCUAGAAGAGAAGUUUCUAGAAGCUUCUAGAAAGGAAUCCCUUGGAACUUUCUAAAAGCUUCCUAGUUAAUAGAAGUAGCUCGAGAAGUUUCUAGAACCUUCUAAAAAGGAAGCCUUUGGAACCUUCUAGAAGCUUCCUAGUUAAUAGAAGUAGCUCGAGAAGCUUCCUAAGUAGGAGUAUAUAUAGGGAUCGAGGCUGAAGAGUUCUUCAGUCUCGACAACACAUCUCUUGGAGUUCUAGCUCACCUUUCUGGUGUGGUUCUUGUACUCAUCUGUUUAAUCUAGUUCUGCCACUUCUUCUUGAACUUCUUGUUAGAUUUCAAGUCUGUAUUUUGUGUCCAUGACAGUUUGUUGAGACUACACUAACUUGAGAUAUCAGAGCUAGUUCUUUCUUAAUAGAGUGUGGAUUACCCCUCUACUUGAAGGUAUACUAGCAUUUUUUAGAGGUUGCGGAUUACCCUCCUCUGAACUGAUACUUCUUCUGUUACAAUAUUGGAGUCUUAUUCUUCUUGGAGAGAGUGGAUUACCCCUCUUCUUGAAAUUCUUAAGGCGUUUUAUAGGUUGUGGAUUACCCUCCUAUAAACCAAUAUUGCCUCUUAUAGGGUCAUUUUUGUCUUUCUUUUAGAAUGGCCGGAGGUCAAGACAUUAGUAUGACAGAAAGUUUGGAGUCUAAGUUAGAUGCUAUUAUGAAUGCCCUCGCUACGUUAUCACAAAGAAUUGCAGAGAUUGAAGGAGUGGUGGCAAGGCUUCAUAAUGAUGGAGUAUCUGGGAUAGCACAAUCUAAACUACACCAGCCUCAAAUUUCGGCACUUGGAGAAACAACUUUACCUCAGGUUCGACAAGAACCACUAGUUCUACAACGUAAGGAGCCUCGAGUUAGCCUUCCAGAUAAGUUUGAUCGAAUAUGUUCCAAGUUUCGAGGAUUCGUCAAUCAAAUCAGGUUGAUAACAGUUUUAUAGCCCGAACGAUAUCCAACGGAGGAGUCAUGUGUUGGGCUUGUUGGAACCUUACUUACGGGACAAGCUCUAUCAUGGUUUGCUCCUUUGUUUGAAAAAAUGAUCAUCCAUAUUAAACAACUUCAAAACCUUUUUGGAAGCAUUUGCAGAAGCAUUUGGUGAACACGAUAAGGUUCGAUGGGCUACAACAAAGAUCCGGUCGCUACGACAAGGGAUGCGUUCUAUAUCAGUCUAUGCUUCGGAUUUCAGGCAAUUAGUAUGCGACAUCAAUUGGGAUGAAGAAGCGUUGAUGAGUCAAUUCUAUUGGGAUUUAAGAGAUGAUGUGAAGGAUUUGCUGUUAACUCUUCCUGAUCCACGAACGCUCAAUGAAGCCAUUAGCCAAGCUGUGAAGUGCGAUAAUCGCCUAUUCCAACGUCGCCAAGACCAACGCUCAAGACAACAUACAAUUUGCCAUGCUCCAACUAUGUCGGCAAGCAGUGUGAAUUCGCAUUCAGAGGUGGAAGACAUGCAAAUUGAUGUGGUACGUAUCAAAUCUCUUACUAUAGAAGAAAAAAAGUGACGUAUGGAGGAAAAUUUAUGCUUGUAUUGCGGUGGAGAAGGCCACAAAGUCGGAAACUGCCCUAAAAAGCAAAAUCGAGGCAUAGUCAAGACUAGGGGAGUAUUUGUUUAAGAAAACGAGGAUGCCCAGCCACAGUAGGAACCGUGCGGCUGGACAAUGAAAUAUCCCAACAACAAUCAGGUUCCUUUCUUUCUGCCCAACUUGCCCUUUGUUUUACAAUCCCUCUGUUUAUUGGCCCUCAAAAACUGAGAACUUUAGCACUACUAGACUCAGGAGCAUCUGCUUGUUUUUUAGACCAAGAAUUUGCAAAGCGUCAUAAGAUCCCUUUAGUACAAAAAUCAAAACCUGUUCAUGUUGAGGUCAUAGAUGGGCGACCUUUAUUGUUUGGUAGCAUCACCCAUGAAUCAAAACCUAUAGAAAUAACGUUUAAAGACCAUAGUAGUCAUAUUAUUUUUAAUUUUAUUAGAACCCCAUCAAAUCCUAUUAUUCUUGGUCUUUCUUGGUUGGAAAAACAUAAUCCAUUGAUAGAUUGGAGGUUGCGGAAGAUGACUUUUCUCACAAAACCACCCAAGAAAAAACCUAGUAAAAAACCUCAAAAAAAGAAAUCCUUAUUCAUUGGAGCAAGAGCGUUUAUAAGAUCAUCUAAGGGAGGCACUCCAUUUGUCAUUUAUGCGGCUCCAACUACCGAGGAGAAGAUCUCAACAGCAAGUAUACCGGAGCAAUAUAAGGAUUUUGAAGACGUGUUUCAAAAGAAGAACGCCAACAUACUACUGGAACACCGACCAUAUGAUUGUGCCAUAGACUUGCAAGAAGGAGCACAACCAUCUUUUGGCCCAAUCUACAAUCUAUCGCAAACAGAGUUGGCAGAGUUGCGAAAGUACAUCGAUGAGAAUCUAGCCAAGAACUUCAUUUGUCAUUCAAAAUCAUCAGCUGGAGCACCCAUCUUAUUUGUGAAGAAGAAAGAUGGAUCAUUACGGAUGUGUGUGGACUAUCGAGGCCUCAACAAGGUAACAAAGAAAAAUCGUUACCCAUUACCCUUGAUUUCUAGUCUCUUAGAACAACUUGGAUGUGCAAAGAUCUUUACAAAAAUAGAUCUAAGGGGAGCUUAUAAUCUCGUACGAAUCAAGGAAGGAGAUGAGUGGAAGACAGCAUUCCGUACAAGGUAUGGUCAUUUCGAAUAUAAUGUCAUGCCUUUUGGUCUUACCAAUGCUCCAGCGGUUUUCCAACAUAUGAUGAAUGACAUCUUUCGAGAAUACCUCGACGAUUUUGUUGUCAUCUACUUGGACGAUAUUCUAAUAUUCUCUAAAAUCGAGGAAGAGCAUGAGGAGCAUGUUCGUUUGGUCUUGGAGAAACUACGCAAGCGAGGACUAUAUGCCAAAUUAGAAAAGUGUUUAUUUCACCAGACGGAGAUGGAAUUUUUGGGGUUCAUUGCGACUACAAAAGGUUUGAAGAUGGACCCUAAGAAAGUAGAAGCAAUCAUGUCUUGGGAGGUUCCGAAGGCGGUUAGAGACGUACAAUGCUUUCUUGGUUUUGCUAACUUCUAUCGGAUCUUCAUCAAGAAUUAUUCUCAAGUUGCUACUCCUCUCACUCGAUUAACAUGCAAGGAUAAGUUGGAAUGGGGACCUUUGGCGGAGAAGGCGUUUCAAGAUUUGAAGACAGCAUUUACUACAGCUCCAAUUUUGGUACAUCCAGACUUUACAAAGGCCUUCUAUUUAGAAACUGAUGCUUCAGAUUUUGCUUUGGGAGUUGUGCUUUUAGAAAUGAGUGAAGAUAAGAAGCUCCAUCCAGUUGCAUUCUAUUCUCGGAAGUUCUCUGCUGCUGAAAUCAAUUAUGAGAUCCACGAUAAGGAACUUCUUGCUAUAGUGGAUUCUUUUGAAGAAUGGCGUCACUUUCUUGAAGGAACUGCACAUCCAGUAACCGUAUAUACGGAUCAGAAAAAUUUGGAGUAUUUCAUCACGGCUCGAGUAUUAAAUCGGCGUCAAGCUCGGUGGAAUAUGUCGCUAUCUAGAUUCGAUUUUGUUAUCACUUAUCGACUUGGAAGACAGCAAGGACUAUCCGAUGCUUUAUCAAGGAGAUCGUAUCUUGCACCAAAGGCUGGAGAAGCAGCGUUUGAUCAACAAUGUACAACGUUAUUGAAGCCAGAGAGAUUUCAACUUUGUGCUACUAUUGUAUCAUUUGAUGCUGACUUCCUAAACCAGGUACAUGCUAUGACUAUUAAAGAUUCAGUAGCCAUUGAUAUCAAGCAACGUACCAAUGACGACAAGUUCAAGGUGGAGGGAGAUCUUUUAUACUUUGAAGAGCGAUUGUACAUUCCAAAAGGACUAGCACGACUCCGAGUUCUUCAAUCUCGCCAUGAUUUUCCAGCUGCGGGAUAUUUUGGAUUCAACAAGACCUUGGAGCUUAUUUCCCGAGAUUUUUGGUGGCCCCAAAUGUAGAAGGAUGUGAAAGAUUUUGUCCUCUCUUGUGACAUCUGUUCAAGAUCUAAGAAUCCUCGGCAUCACCCUUAUGGACUUCUACAGCCAUUGCCAAUUCCACGUCGACCAUGGUCUUCAAUUUCUAUGGACUUCAUCACGGACUUGCCAUCAUCAAACUCAUUUGACAGCAUCUUUGUCGUGGUAGAUCGGCUUACGAAGAUGACAGACUUUGUUCCUUGUAAGAAGACAUUGUCCAGUGAAGUCACAGCAAGACUCUUUCUCGAUAAUGUGUAUCGAUAUCAUGGACUACCAGAUGAUAUCAUAUCAGAUCGAAGUACCCAGUUCAUGUCAAAGUUUUGGAGAUCUCUCUUUGGAAUAUUGAAGGUAGAUAUCAAGCUUUCUUCAGCUUUUCAUCCUCAAACUGAUGGCCAAACGGAACGGGUGAACCAAGUCUUGGAGCAGUACUUACGAUGCAGCAUCAACUAUCAGCAAGACGGUUGGACUGCAUAUCUACCGCUAGCCGAGUUUGCAUAUAACAACACCCUCCAUGCGUGGACUCAACAAACACCAUUCUUUUCCAACUAUGGAUAUGAUCCGAAGCUUGAUUUAUUGAGUCCGUCAACAAAUAACAAUCCAGCAGCUGAAGGAUUUGCGAAGCAACUAUCAGAGCUUCAAACUAUAUUGAAGCUUCAAUUACAAUCCACUCAAAAAUCCUAUAAGACGUCUGCAGAUAGAUUUUGGAAUCCAGCACCUACUUUCAAAGUUGGAGACAAAGCCUGGUUUCUUCGACGAAAUAUCAAGACCAAGCGACCAUGUGAUAAGUUGGACUAUCGAAGAUUGGGACCAUUUAUCAUCCAGAAGCAAAUUAAUCCAGUGGCAUACCGGCUAAAGUUACUGGCUUCUAUGAAGGUACAUCCAGUCUUUCAUGUUUCUCUGUUGGAACCUUAUCGAGAGUCAUCUUUUCCUGGAAGAGUGUAAUGUCCGCCACCUAGUAUUAAAAUCGAGAACCACGAAGAAUACGAGGUUGAAAAGGUAUUGGAUUCACGGCGAAGGUGGGAAAAGUUAGAAUAUCUUGUUCAUUGGUGUGGCUAUGACAUUAAUGAGCGAAUAUGGGAGCCAGCUGAAAAUCUUGCGAAUGCGCCACAAAAGGUACAGGAGUUUCAUCAACGACAUCCCGAUAAACCUAAAUCAAUUCGAUGAUAGCUUCUUUUUGAAGCUUGUUCUCCCAACAAUAUAAGAAAAGGAGAGAGCACAAGCAAAAUUCAUAAUUGAUGUAGUUAUUUUCUCCAAGAUAGAUCGUAGUUUGGUCUUUUGAUAUGGAUAGCCAAGAGAUAGAUACUAUGCCAGUCAGAGUAUCGCAACUGAGUAGCUCACGAAGGCGACCCCGAGAUGAAGAACUACAUGUACCACGACGACGACGGAGGAUACCGAGUAACCGAUCACUGGUGAUCGUAUUUGAGAUCGAGCCUGCUUACGAUGGUCAACCAAAAGGCGUGUUUGCAGGACAAUUUCACAAUGAGGACACGGAAGUUCAUGCUUAGUCAGAAGUCGAAGGCGUGGGCCACUACCAUUGGCUUCAAGGAUUGAUGAACCACUUGUCUUGUGAACAACAAUUGGAGUUCAUAGUAGAAGUUGUGCGACAGAUCUUCAUUUUCUUGCGUUGGUACUGAUCAACAACAUUGCUUCUCAGAGACCUCGAAGCUAAAAGAGGGGGUGAUGUUAGGGACAUAUUCCUUAGAACUUUCUAGAGAGAAGUUUCUAGAACCUUCUAGAAAACAAGCCUCUGGAACCUUCUAGAAGAGAAGCCUCUGGAACCUUUUAGAAAGAAGUUUCUAGAAGCUUCUAGAAAGGAAGUCUCUGGAACCUUCUAGAAGAGAAGUUUCUAGAAGCUUCUAGAAAGGAAUCCCCUGGAACUUUCUAAAAGCUUCCUAGUUAAUAGAAGUAGCUCGAGAAGUUUCUAGAACCUUCUAGAAAGGAAGCCUCUGGAACCUUCUAGAAGCUUCCUAGUUAAUAGAAGUAGCUCGAGAAGCUUCCUAAGUAGGAGUAUAUAUAGGGAUCGAGGCUGAAGAGUUCUUUAGUCUCGACAACACAUCUCUUGGAGUUCUAGCUCACCUUUCUGGUGUGGUUCUUGUACUCAUCUGUUUAAUCUAGUUCUGCCACUUCUUCUUGAACUUCUUGUUAGAUUUCAAGUCUGUAUUUUGUGUCCGUGACAUUAUUGUCACACUACCAAAGAAUAGUUUGACACUCGUUUUGAUACCAAUGAAACAAAACAAGUCUAUCUCAAGAGUUUAAGACUUUUUUAAUCCACAACAAUAUAAAAACUCAUCAUGAAGUAGAACAAAGCUAAAUAGAAGUAAAUAAAAUAAGAUACAAAAGAUAAAAUUAGGCAAACAAAAAUAGAACAGAACAAAAUUGAACAAAAAAAUGCAAAAUCAAAAUUUACUAAGAUAGAAGAUCUGAAGCCAUAUUAGAUGCCUAAAAGGCCUUGGUUAGUCGUAUUUAUUCUUUAUUUUACUACCUUGGAUUUUCUAAAAUGUUUCUAGGUGAUGAAUCCUUCUUAGAUAAUUGCUCUAAGCCUUUUCUAGAAGGUUCCAUGAUAAGCCUUUUGAGUCAUCAAAUUGACUCACUAGUUAUUUUAGAAUAAAAAGAUUCUUUUACAAUGCUUAAAACCACAAUAUAUGGUGAAUAGUAUAGAAAUCUUUAGAAAAAUAGAAAACUAGAAAGUCAAUUGUAGAAUCGGAGUCUUAGUAAGUCUUGGAGGUAAUUAUUUUAGUUAGUUUAAUAUUUUUUUAUUUAUUAUUGGAUAUUAAGGGAUAUUUAUUAAGAUCAAUAUUUAUAUUGACCUUCUAUUUAUAUAUGUUACUUAUAAGAAAAACUAUAAAUUUUAAUUAGUAGUUAGAAGAAGCAUGAAAAAGAACCUCAUGUCUUUUUAAUUAGUUAUAUAGAAAGUAGGAUUUAUAUUAGAUUUAAAUUGAUUUUAUUACUAUAAAAAUUUAUAAAGGUAAAAAAUUAUAGCUUAAAUUUUAUUUUAAUAGUAUAAAAAUUUCAUACGAAUUUUUAAAAUUUAUUUAGAAAUUUUUAGGAAUUUUUAGAGUAAUUUCUAAGACUUUGAUAAAAAUGAGUUUCAUCACUUCGGGAGCCAUUAUAUGAAAAAUGGAGCAAGAUUUGAAGGCCCGUAAGGUUCCUAAGCUAAUUGAGUUUUCUUAAAUACCAAGAUGAAGUCAAAAAUACAAAAUUAUUGGUUUUACUAGUUGAAAAUAGGAGGACCAGCAGCUAGUGUAGUCCUUGUAAGAAAGAAGGUGCACAAGUUCCAUGUAGUUUUUAGCACCUUGAAGGUAGUUAGGAAGAUAAGACUAAGGCCUCAUGGCCUCUCUUAGAGAUCCAUAUAUACUACAUGUAAGCCUUAGUGAGGCUCAAAUUCUUGAUCUCUUAAAUAAGUUAUCUUUGAGGUAAAAAUUAUUUAUUUAAUUUUUUAUUUAUUUACUUGUUAUUUUUAAACCUUCAUAACUUAUUCAUAAUAAUUCGUAUUUUUAUGUUUUUUAUAUCAUUGAAAAGAUAAAAAAACUAAAUUUCUAAUUUUUUUUACUUUUAUUUUUUAUUUUUUAUUGGAUAAAAAUUCAAUGAAUGGAUUAUAACUAGUUUUAUGGUAUACAAUUGCUUGAUUGCACUUGUUUCAUGUAUUUUUGUAUUUUGCUUCUUUUUUUCUUGUUCUUGCUACUUUUACUUUAUACUACUAAUUAAAAUUAAUUCUUAAUUGAUGCCAUUUUAUAAUUGACAUUAAAGAGUGAAUUUUACACUUAUAGGCCCUACUUAGAUAAUUACUCUAAGCCCUUCUAAAAGGUUCCAUGGUGGAUUCUAUCUAGAUAUCCAUCUUAGGCUCUUUCUAGAAUGUUUUACAAUAGAUCUUAUAUAGUCCACUAAUUUAGCUCUAAUUCUAGAAACUUCCAUAACUUAUCAAACGUGAUUUCAACUAUCUAUCUUCAUGUAUCAACAAUACAAAUAUCUUAUCUAUACUCUGUUAUAUUUCUUCUCUCUUCAGAUCUUUCACCUUGUUUUAUAAUAGAUGUACGUUUAGGAUCUAAAAAUCAUAAAGUCUUUAUAUUAUUAAAUUUAGAAGUCUUAAUUUAUUUUAUAAACAAAGACUUCAUUAAAAAAAUAUAUAUCUUUAGUUAAGAAAACUAAAUUUGUAUAAAUAGAAGUCAUUGAUACUCAUUUAUUAUCUUUUAAAAAUAUUAUUCAUAAAACUAUUCUUUUAGAUGUAGUAAUUAAAAAUUAUAAUAGUAUAAUAAUAUUUAAUGUAAUAAGUUCUUUCUCUAAAUUUGGAUAUUUUAGGAUUAUCAUGGUUAAAAAAAUAUAAUCUUCAAAUGAACUAGAUUUCUCAUAAUAUUAAUUUUUUUAUAGUUUAAACCAAAAUAUAUUAGUUAAAUAAAAAUAUAUAAGUUUAAUACAUCUAAAUUCUUAUAGAUUAGUAUGAGAGUUUUCAUGCAUAUGGCUUAAGAAGGAUUAUCUUUUGUUAUAUAUAUACAAUACUUAAUUUUGAUGGUAGAAAGAUGACAAGUGAUAUUCCAAGCUAACAAUAAUAUUUUCUAGACGUUUUUGAAAAGACAAAUAUAAAUCUUUUUUUCAAAACAUUGAUCUUAUGAUUAUUCAAUUGGUCUUUAAAAAAGAGCUCAACCACCAUGUGGACUAAUUUAUAGCUUAUUACAAAAUGAAUUGGCUGAAUUAAAGAUAUAUAUUGAUAAGAACUUGGUUAAGAAUUUUAUUUGCUAAUCUAAAUCUUCAACAAGAGCUCCUAUCAUAUUUGUGAAGAAAAAAGAUAGAUCAUGUCAAAUGUAUGUAGAUUAUUGAGGACUUAAGGAAAUUAUCAUCAAGAAUAUAUAUCCUUUACACUUGAUUUUAAGACUUUUUGAUCAAUUUAAUUAAGCAAAGAUCUAUACAAAAAUAGAUCUAUAAAGAUCAUAUAACUUGGUUCGUAUCAAAAAAAGAGAUGAAUAAAAGGUUGUUUUUGAAACUAGGUAUGGAUAUUUUGAAUAUAAUGUCAUUUUUUUUACACUCACAAAUGUACUAAUCACUUUUUAACAUCCUAUGAAUGAUAUUUUUUGAUAGUUUCUUAAUAAUUUCAUUUUUUGUUAUUUAAAUGAUAUUUUAAUCUAUUCUAAGAAUAUAAAAAAUAUGAACUUCAUAUUUGUUGUAUAUAACUAAAACUUAAAGAUGUAGGAUUAUAUGUCAAGAUAGAAAAGUAUAUUCUAUACUACUUAAGUUGAUUUUUUAAAAUACAUUAUUUCCAACAUAGACUUUAUGAUGGAUUUUAAGAAGAUUCAAACUAUUAUGAAUUGAAAGAUUUCAAAAUAAUAAAAAAAUGUGUAAUAUUUUUGAAAUUUUCUAAUUAUAACCAAAUCUUCAUCAAGAAUUUUUUUCAAGUUGAAGCUUUUCUUAUAUAUUUCACUUCUAAAGACAAAUUUGAAUGGAAUAAAAAAAAAAAAAAAAAAAAAAAACGUCUUUUCAGGUCUUGAAGAAAACAUUUAUUUCUAUAUCAAUCUCUUAUCGCAUUGACUUUUUCAAGGAAUUUUUCAUAAAAAAAAAUACAUUAGACUUUGCUAUAGAUAUGAUUUUGCCAUAAAUGGUAGAAAAUGACAAGCUCAAUAUGAUAAAUUUCUAUUCCAAGAAAAUUUUAGCAAGCAAGAUUAACUCUAAGAUCCACAAUAAACAGCUUUUUGUAAUCAAUGAUUUAUUUCAAGAGUAGCAUUAUUAUUUAGAAGAUACUUCUAGUUCAAUCACCUUAUAUAUGGAUCAUAAGAACCUCAAAUACUUCAUAUUAGCACGUAUUUUGAAUCAUCACCAAACUUAUUUGAGUAUAUUUGUGAGUGUAAAUUUCAUUCCUUAAUCCUAAUUACAAGAUGGCCUCAAUUAAAAGUUUCUUGUAAUUGGUGGUGUGAAGUGAAGUAUGCAAUUGGCAAAAAAUUCAAAAAAAAUAACCAGAAUAUAAGUGGAAAAAAUGAAAUUAAGUAAUUACAACAUCCAAAAUAAUUUGUUCAAUAUAUUUUCAUCUAAUAAAAAAUAAAAUAAAAAAGUAAAAAGAAUAUUUUAAGAUAGGUAAUUUUAUUAUCUUUUCAAUGACAUAAGAAACAUUUAAAUUCAAAUUACUAUGAGUAAUUUAUGAAGUUUUAAAAAUAGAAAGUAAAUAAUUAAAAAGUGAAGUGAAAAUAUUUUACCUCAAGGAUAACUUGCUUAUAGAUCAAGGAUUUGAGCCUCACUAAGGCUCACAUGUAGUGUAUAAGGGUGUUCAUGGAGGCCAAGAGGCCUUAGUCUUAUCUUCCUAUCUAUAUCCAAGGUACUACAAUCCAUAUGGGCCUUGUACACCUCUCUUCCUACAAGGACUAAACUAGCUGCUGAUCCUCCUAUUUUCUACUAGUAAAUCUUAUUUUUUUACAUUUUCAACUUCAUCAUGGUGUUUAAAAAUAUCCUAUUAGCUUGUGAACCUUGUAAGGCCUUCAAACCUUGCUCCAUUUCUUCAUAAUGGCUCUCAAAGUGGUAAAACAUAUUUUUAUCAAAGUCUUGGAAAUUGCUCUAAAAAUUCCUAAAAAGUUCUAAAUAAAUUCUAAAUAAAUUCUAAAAAUUUAUAUAAUAUUUUUAUAUUAUUAAAAUAAAUUUUAAGCUAUAAUUUCUUACCUUUUAAUUUUUUAUAGUAAUAAAAUCAAUUUAAAUCUACUAUAAAUCCUACUUUCUAUAUAACUAACUAAAAAGACAUGAGUUUCCCUCUUAUGCUUCUUUUUACUACUAACUAACAUUUAUAAUUUUUUUUUAAGUAAUAAAUUUAGAUAAAAGAUCAAUAUAGAUAUUGGUCUUGAUAACUAAUACUCUCUACUCAACAAUAAAUAAAAAUCCUAAACCAACUAAAAUAAUUACCUCGAAGACUUACUAAGAAUCCAUUUCUUCUCUACUAAUAUUAUUCUUCUUCAUUUAACAUCCUCUAAGUACAUCUUCAUCUAAAAAUUGUUAUUUUGUCACUUUACAUCCAUUCUUUUGUCCUAAAACAACUAGUGAGUUAAUUUGAUGACUCACAAUGUUUUUAUAAAGAUUUGCUUUAAAGAUCACUUAUCAAUCCAAAAAAUAAAAAAUUUUGUUAAAUAUCUUUUUUAGAAAUAAUAAAAAAAUUGUGCUAAAAAAAAAAUGCAACUUUUAAUCAAUAAAGAAUGAUUUUCUUAAAACUAGAGUAUUUUCAUAUUUGAACAAUAAAAUCAACAUUGAUUGUUGAUUCAAAAAUGAUUUUCUUAAAACUAAAGUAUUAUCAUCUUUGAAUAAUAAAAUCAACAUUGGUUGUUGAUUCGGCCUUUUUCAAGUAAAUUCAAUGAAGUAUGUUUUUUAAUCAUCUUAUUUAUGAUAUUAAAAAUAAUUCUUUUAAGUCUCAUGAUAUUUUUAAGUUUGAAUUUAAGAAUAAUCUACUCUAUUUUGAGUGACAAUUAUAUAUUUCAAAAGGCAAAGCAGAAUUAUAUAUUUUUUAAGCUUCUUGUGACUUUAUAAUAAGUAGAAAUUUUGGAUAUAAUAAGACUUUAGAGCUAAUAUUUAGUGAUUUUUGAUAGAUUCAAAUAUAGAUAAUAAUUAAAGACUUUGUACAAUCAUAUGACCAUUCUUAUGGAUUUCUUCAGUAUUAUCUAUUCUAGAACAAUCAUAGUCUUUAAUUUCUAUGGAUUUUAUCAUAGAUCUUAUAGUCUCAAGUUCAUAUGAUUCUAUAUUUAUGAUAGUAGAUUAUUUUAUUAAAAUGGCAUAUUUUUCAUAUGUAUAAAAUCUAUUAUAGAUAAAAAAAAAUAGCAAAGUUUUUCCUUCACAACAUCUAUUGCAUAUCAUAGAUUGUCCAAGGAUAUUGAAUUAAAUAAAAGAUUCAAUUCACAUUAAGAUUUUAGAUAAUCCUUUUUAAGAUUUUAAAAGUAGACAUAAAGCUAUCUUUGAUCUUUUAUCUAUAAAUUUAUUGACAAACAAAGUACAUAAAUUAAGUUUUAGAAUAAUAUUUAAAGUAUACUAUCAAUUACUAAUACGAUGAUUAGAUAACUCAUUUGCCAUUGGCAAAAAUUGCUUAUAAUAAUAUGGUACAUUCUUCUAUGGAAUAAAUACCUUUUUUUUCUUAAUUAUAAUUAUCAUCCAUGACUUGAUACUUUUGACUUCUCAAAAGUUGAUAAUUUUAUAGUGGAAGAUUUAGCAAAUCAUUUAUUAAAGAUACAUAUAGUAAUGAAGGCAUAAUUAAAAGAAGUUCAAGAAUGUUAAAAGACCAACAUGCAUGUCUAUUGCAAGGAGCAAUUUCAAUUCCAUAUUGGCGACAAUAUAUGGUUAUUUUGUCAUAAUAUCAAGAUUAGCCAUCUUUAUAACAAGUUGGAUUAUUGUAGACUUCGACCAUUUCUUAUUCAUGAAUAAGUCAAUAGUGUUGUUAAUUGAUUACAUCUAUUAGAGUCUAUGAAGAUCUAUCUUAUAUUCUAUAUGUCUCUUUUUAAGCUAUAUAAGAUAGUAAAUAUGUUUGAAAGAAGACAAAUGUCACAUCUUCUUAUAGAAGUAAAUAAUAAUCAAAAAUUAAAAGUUGAAGAAGUUUUAGAUUCAAGGCAGUGCCAAAAUAGGUUGAAAUAUCUUGUUUAUAAGUACGGAUAUAAUAUUAGUAAAUACACAUGAGAACCAUCAAAGAAUCUUAAAAAUCUUAUAAAGAAGGUUGAAGCUUUUUAUUAAUGACAUCCAUCAAAAUCAAGAUGAAGAAUAAUAAAUCUUUAUUAUAAAAGAAAUAAAACAUAAGAAAGAUAGUAUUCUACUUUUUAUCUUUGUUUGUAGUUUCUAUGUAUUUAUAAUGCUAAAGAGAUGAAAAAUCAAUUAGGAGAUUUAACUCAAGAAUUAUUGUUUGCUAAUUUAUUGGACGAAAUAUUAUAAUUUUUACAACCUUCAAGACAAUAUAAUCAAGAUCAAAAUCCUCAAAAAUGACAUUCUUUUUUAAAUAGAUAGUGAGAUAUAAUGUAUUUGAUAUCAUGACCUUAGAAGCUAGACUUCAACCAAUAAGCAAUUAAUAAAAAUAUAAAAAUUGAGUAAGAUUGAACAUAUCAAUUACAAAAAAAACUCCCAAUCGUUGGCUAUCUUUCUUCUUUAAUUAGAAUAUUAAACUUUCAAUAUCAAUUUUUUUUUGAAUUAUUUAAUCGCUAUAAAAUUGGAUUAUUUGUAAAUAUUUAAGUUUUAAUUUUUCUUACCAAUUUUUGCUUCAACUUAACUAGCAAAUAUUCUUAAAUCUUGAAAUCACUCAUUGAUCUUAAAUCUCAAAUUUUGGAGACCAUAACCUAUAAAGACCUUUAUAUGCUUCAAUCUAAUUGCUUAAUUGAUUUCAAGUUUUUUUCACACAUUCAAAACAAAGACAACAAAAAAUUACGAAAAUUUCACCUAUAAACAUACUAUGAAACUUACAAAAUCUUGAAAUUUAUAAGCUUGUUUUAUUUCUCAAAAUCUAAAUCCACCAAGCAUAUUACUAAUUUUAAAAAUCUCUCAAAAUCUAAAUAUUAAUCCAAAUGAUAUUAAACCAAUAUUCAAAAAUAUUUUCUUAAGUUUUCUUUCAAAUCUUAUUUUCAUAUUCACAAAAGAACCUUGGAGUUACCAUAGGUGCUUGAUUUUGUAUCUCAAGGUUUGAUUUUAAUCCUCGUUGAUGACCGGUCUUCUCGAAGUAUCAAUUCUUGACUUUUUAAGCUAAAUUUUGCUAAAAUCAACUUCUAACUCUAUCCUACAUAUGUAAAUAUUUUAUUUUUAAUUAACUUUGUUUUAUCUUAUUUAUGAUUCUAUAAAGUAAAUCCAUUAUCAUAAAAAAAUAUUAAUAUUAAUAGAUUUUACUACUUGUAUAUUUUUUAUUUAUAUUUUUAUUAUAUAUUUUUAAUUGAAUUCUUUUAUAAUAAAAUAUUUUCUUUCUUCUUUUACCUAAUGGCUAUAUUAUUAUACGUGAUUGCCUUAGUAUGAGAUACUAUUGAUGGCUAAGAGGACCUAUCAACCAUGUUCAAAGAAAAAAAAGUUCAAAAUAUGUGGCAAAUAUAUUUUGCCCCAUUUUGGAUUUUUUCAAUAUAUGAUGACUACUCCUGAUGAAACUUAUUCCUAGAAGAGAGAAUAAUAUCACAUAUAUAUAUAUAUAUAUAUAUAUAUAUAUAUAUAUUCCAAUAAUUAUUUAUGUAAUUAGAUAAAAAUAAAUAAAAUUUAUAAUAUCUUAUAAAAAAGCUUCGUAGAAACUUUAUAGAUACAACUUAGACUUAACAUGUAUUUUUUGAUUAGAAAUUUAGACAAAAAAUUAGUCACGUAUCAUAUAUAUUAAUAAUUAUAUGACAUACAUAUAAUAAAAUUACCUUGAAAUUUAAGAUAUAUGUCUUAUAAUUUGGAUAUGUAUCGGAGGUUCUAUAGAAUAUUGUCAUAUAGCUCAUAGUUUGAUAAUAUAUAUAGAGGCAAGAAUAAAGCCUUCUUCACUCUUUUCAAUGUCUUUUUUAUUUUUAAUAAAGUUUUAAAGGUUUAUAUUCUUCUUAUCUUUGAUAAUAGUCAUUUUAAUAUUAAUAAUAUAUUAUUUUUAGAAUAAAAUUUUAUUUUUCUUGAAUUACAUAAGAAUAUUUUAAGGUUCAACUUGUUUUGAUUUAUGUCCUAGAUACUUAUUGGAUAAGACAUUGCAAUUAUCACAGCCUUUAAGAUGGCAUAAUAGAAAAAAAGUCCUUCAAGAAUGAUAUGUUUUUUAGCAAAUAGAUGGGAAGAUAUAAUGCAUUUAGCAUCACAACUUUAGAAGAGACUUCUAAUAUUUAGUAAUUUUAUUAAAGGUAGGAAUGGCUCUAGAUGAUAUUACAAAUGUUUUAUUUGAAAAAAGUUACAAAGACUUUAAUAAUGAUCAAAUAACAAGAUGGUCUUUUUGCCUUAUAAUGGGAUAUCAUCAAUAGAUGCAAGAACUUAUUAACUAUCUUCAAAGGAAAUAAAUAUUAGAGUAUGUAACAAAUAUAAUUUGUUGUAUCUUAAACUUUAUCAAUAUAUGAUCAUUGUUCCUAAAAAUGGGAGUAAAACUACAAAUAUAUAUAUUUAUGCCAAUACUUAUUUAUAUAAUAUAAGUAGGUAGAAAUAGAUAAAAAUAGAUAAAUUUAAUAAUAUCUUACAGAAAAACUUUUUAGAAGCUACACAAACAUAAUUUCAUCUUUUAUAUAUCUAAAAGUGAUUGAUAGGUUGAAUAUUUGGCUAAUAAGUUAACUAUAUGUCUUACAUGUUGAUAGCUUGUAAUACAAGUUAAUCAUGUGGUGCACACUAUUAUAAUAUGUGAAGUCUUGCUUGAGAAUGCUCCGGGCACUUGACUAUGGAAGAUAGAAUGGAAAUUGCAACAACAAAAUCCUAACUAUAAUAGAAUACUAACUAAACUCUAAUUAGACCAUAAUAAUGCUAAGUAAGCUUUAAUCAAAUUCAAAUAAACCUCAAAGAAAUUUCAAAGAAACAAUAAGAAAUCUUAAAGAACUAUUAGAAUGAUCACAAAUAUAUCUCAAAUACAUCUCAAUUCAAUCUUAAUUUAAUCCUAGUUAAAAUCCUAUUGGACUUCAUUCAAACUUUAGGCCAAAAAUAAUUAAAUAUUAAAUCCUAAACAAAUCCUAAUAAAAUCUUAAACCAUAAAUCAAACCCUAAAUCCUAAAUCAAACCCUAAAGCCUAAAUCAAAUCCUAAUUAAUCUUUAAAUCCUAAACCAAAUCCUAAAUGAAAUCCAAACCAAACUCUAAAUCCUAAACCAAACCCUAAACAAACCCUAGUAAUUUCUACAACAGAAUUAAACCUCAAUAACUAAUGAAUGAAUCGUUGAUCUUAACUCAAAUUUUGCACACUUCUUAAAAACUAAGUUGAAAACAAGCACAAAAAUUUUGAAAAGGAUCGAAAUUACCAAAUAGACGAUAACCUCAAAAAUGUGCUCGGGUAUUGGCCGGCCUCCUACUCCAAUCUUAAUGCCAAUCUCCCGGAGCCAAUAUCUCUCAUUUUCACUAUUUGAUUGAUUUCAAAAUUCUCAUAUACAUAGAAAAACAAGUGUAAUAUCUUUUCACACAAAUUUUACUUCAAUUCAAUUAUUAGAUUGCAAGAAAACUUGAAAACCCUCACUGGACCUAAAAUUCUACUUUCUGAGAUCUUGACCCAUUUAAACCUCAAUAAUCCUCAAUUCAACCGUUAGAUCGAGCUCAAAUUUACAACACAUAUUGAACACAACUAUGACCAUUAACCUACAAAAUUUCACUUAUAGAUCUAUUAUAAAACUCUUGAAAUCAUCCAAAACGUAAACCCUAUUUUAUUUCACAAAACCUAAGUCAUCCAAAACAAACCUUGACUUUGCAAAGCUCUUAGAAAAUCAAUACAAAUCCAAAUCAUCCAAAACCAACGCCCAUAGAAACCUUAUCCAAUCUUCUAUCAAAAUCCUUUCUCCAAUCUGCAAAAAGAACCCCAAAGUCGUCAUCAAGACUCGGUUUUGUGCCUCAAGGUCUGAUUUCGACCUUGGUUCAUAAUCGGCCCUCUCCAGAUAUCAAUAUGUAGUUUUUCUAAAUAAAUUUUGCUAGAAUUUACUCUUAAUUUCUUUCUAAAGAUACUUGUAUCAUUUAUUUUUCCAAUCUACUUUGUUUUGCCUUACUUAUGGUCCUACAAAGUAAAUAGAAGUCACCUUUCUAAAAGACAAUAUUGGUACCUUUUUGUUUUACUAUCCUUUUGACUAUUAACUAUAUUUCUAAGAUAAUUUGUUCUAAUACUUUGAACUAAGAUCUCCUACAUUAAAAUAAUUUCUACACUUUUUCACCUAUUAGUCGUGUUACAUCAUGACAACACAUAAGAAACUUGUUUUGCAAGUGAAGAUGUGUAUCUCAUAAAUUAGACACAUGUUUAAGGUCCUAUAGAACGUCCCUUGUAGCUUUUCUUUAGAUAGUAUAUAUAGAUACAAGAGAGAAGCUUUCUUCACUCUUGUCAAUUCCUUUGUUACUUCUAGUCUAGUUUCUAGGAUCUCUAAUUUUCUUAUUAUAUGGCAAUAGCCAUUUUAGUUUCUUUUUAAAUGUAUGUAUUUUUUUUAUUUCAACCUUAUUAUGUUUCUUUGAAAAAAAUUUCACUUAUUAAUUUGCCUUCAUCAAGUUCUUGUCUUAGACAACUUUAUAAUUAAAUUCAAAUAAUCUUAGUACUAUAAAUACAUGAAAGAAAAAGAUUGGUAUACUAAAGAAGUUUUAUGAAAGAAGAUUAAAAUUUUGAGGAUUUUUAGAACUAGUCAAUUUCUAUCUAAAGUUACAUAUUUUAUAAUUUUUUGAUGGAUUUAGUCAAGUUGGAUUCAUUAAUACAUUCAUAUCUAAAACUAAGCUUUUUUGAUUUAUUACUUUUAUAAAAAAUAUUUUUAAUUCCUAUAUGAUCUAAAUUUAUUUUUAAAAUAAUUAAUCACAAAUUUAAAAAAACCAUUGAAAAAGAGUAGCAAAGACAAAUCUCUUAUCUUUAUGAUAAGAAUCAUAAUUAACUACCAAAAAUGUAGCUCAAUUUCAAAACCUUACUUAUAAUAUUAUCUUAUUGUAACAUAAUUAUUAAGUGAAAGAAAGUAAGGUAUAUAUAUAUAUAUAUAUAUUAUAGAAGGGAUUAAUUAAAAAUAUUAUAAAAAAUUACCUUAUAAAUAUAAAUAAUGGUCAAAGUGAUAAUAAAAAUUAAUAAGUAUUAAUAUUAUUUUUUUGCAAAAUAGGCUUCCACUUAGUUUGUACAACUAUAAAUGAAAAAAAUCAAAGUAGAUUAAAAAAAUUGAUAUAAGGAUCUUUAGGAAAAAAUUAAGAAUAAUUUUUAGCAAAAAUGUCCAUAAAAAACCAAAAAUUGAUAUGCAAAGAGGACCAAUUAUGAACCAAAGUUAAAAUAAAAUAUCAAGGUAUAAAGUAUGGACAAUAUUUUAAAUUACUUUGAGAAUACUAAAAAUUAUGAACUUCAUGUUUAUUAUAUGUUAUAUAAAUUUAAAGAUGCAAAACUAUAUACUUAAAUGGAGCAGUGUAUAUUUUAUAUAAUUCAAGUUGACUUCUUAGGAUACAUCAUUUCAAAUAAUGGUCUAAGAAUAGAUUAUAAAAAAAUUUAGAUUAGUAAAGAUAAAAAUAUUUUAAUAAUAAUAAGAGAUGUCUAAUUUUUUUGAGAUUUUUUAAUUACUAUUAGAUUUUUAUUAAAAACUUUUAAAAGUUACAAUUCUAUUUAUAUAUUUGACUUGUAAAGAAAAACUUAAGUAGAAUGAAGAAGUUUAAACAACUUAAGAAGCUUUGAAGAUAAUUUUUACUCUAAUCAUAAUCUCAUAUUAUGUUAAUUUUUUUAAAGCAUAUUUUAUAGAAACAAAUAUAUCAAACUUUGCCUUAGAUUUUGUAUCAUCAUAAAUAAAAUUAAAUGAAAAAAUUUAUUUAUUAACUUUUUAUUUAAAAAUAAUAUUAGUAAUCAAGAUAAAUUAUAAGAUUCAUAACAAAGAACUUCUUGCAAUUGUAGAUUCAUUUUAAAAUGGUAUUAUUAUCUAAAAAAUGCUCCUAGUUUAAUAAUUAUUUAUAUAAAUUAUAAAAACCUUAAGUAUUUUAUAUUUAUCAUGAAUAUAUAUAUAUAUAUUAUAAUUAUUACCUAAGUAAUAUGAAUAGGUAGAAGUAGAUAAAAAUAAAUUAAUUUUAUAUUAUCUUCUAAAAAAGCUUUUUUGAAGCUUUUUAGAUGGUGUUUCGAUUUUAUAUGUGUUUGUAGUUGAUUGAUAGGUUAGAAACUUAGUCAACAAACUAAUCACGUGCUACAUGUGUUGGUAGCUUAUGGAAGAAGCUAGAUAGGUGGUGUCCAUAUAGAAAACUUGCCUUGCAAAUUAAGAUACAUGUCAUGAAAAGUUUCUUGAAGAAAAGAAGUCUAAAAGCUACAAAUACUUAGCAUUAGCAAGGAUUGUACUCUAAAAGAAAAGUGGAGAAAGAUAUCUCUUACUUCCAAAACUUUUACUUAUAAAUGGAGUUUACAUUCCAAGUACAUAAAUGUCACCUUCAUCUUUUUAACUAGAUCUAGAUUCAUCUUAACCUAGCCACCACCUUAAAAUCUUAGCCGCCACCAUAGUAACUUUUGCUACCUUUUGAUUAUUAGCAACUUACUAUGAUUAAUCUUCAUGUGGUGGUAACUAUAUAAGAACUUGUUGAUCUUUAACACUCCUACUUUGCUAAUUUUUAAAUGGUUUUUAAUCCUAAUCUCUAAAUCAAGUCAUGAUGUCUAUUCUUCACUAAUGCCUUUGUAAGCACAUCAGCAAGCAUGUCAUUUAUAGCACAAUACUUCAUACUUAUUAUUCCAUCUUCAAUCUUCUCUUGUAUGAAAUGAUGUUGAACAUCAAUGUGUUUGGUCCUUGAGUAGUAUUUUGGAUUCUUCGCAAAUGCAAGACAUCCUUAAUUCUUACAAAUAAUUAGAGUUGCUUCUAAUUGUACUAGACCAAUAUCUUCUAAGAGUUGCCUUAUCCAACACGCCUCUAUUGUACAAUGACUUGUUGCCAUGUACUCUACUUCCAUUGUUGAUCUUGCAAUGGUAGGUUGUCUCUUGCAAUUCCAUCAAAUGGCUCUCACUCCAAUGAAGAAGACAUGUCUCAUUGUGGAUCUUCUAUCAUUUGCAUCUCUAAUCUAAUCCACAUCACAAUAGCCUUACAAAUCAAUGUUCUUACCACCAAGGCACAAUUUGAAGUCCUUUUUCUUUUUAAGUACCUCAAUAUCUUUUUUACCAUUGUCCAAUGCAUUAAUCUAGCCUUAGACAUGUGUUGGCUUAUAACACUUAUCGCAUAUCCAAGAUCCACUCUUGUAGCCACUAUUGCAUACAUGAAUGAGCCUACUACUACCUUGUAUGGAAUACUUUGCAUCUCACCUUCAACUUGUGCAAACUCCUCAUCCGUGAGCUUCAUCAACUUCAAAUUUACCUCCAAGGAUGUUCCAAUCGGAUUGCACUCCUCUAUGUUGAAUCAUUUCAACACUUCUUUAAUGUACUUGAUUUGGAUCAUUGUAAUGGUCUUGUUACCACAAUCUCUUAUAAAUUCCACUCUUAAGCAGUAGUGUAACCCUCCCAAAUUACUCAUCUCAUAUUCCUUCUCUAAUUUGGCCUUCAUUUAAUCCAUCUUUUCCAUAUUGUUAGCCAAGAUGAUCAAAUUAUCAACAUAAACGAUUACAAUCAACAAGAACUCUCUACAUUGUAUCACAUACAAUGAAUGAUCUGCCUCACUAUUCACAAAAUCUUCAUUGACAAAGAAGGUGUCAAUUAGUUGGUACCAUGCCCUUGAUGAUUGUUUCAAUCCAUACAAGGAUUUCUUCAAUUUGUACCCAAGAUAUUCUUUGCCUUGUUGUACAAAUCCUUGAAGUUGGUCCAUGUAGAUGUCUUCUUGUAAUUCUCCAUUCAAAAAGGCCCUCUUUACAUCCAUUUGGUGUAUUUCCAAAUCCAUUGCUGCUCUGAUUGCUACAAUGGUUUUAAUGGUGGUGAACUUAGCAAUGGAUGCAUAAGUCUCAUUGCAAUCAAUUCUAGUAACUUGUGAAUAUCCUUUGGCAACUAAUCUUGCUUUGUGCCUUACUACUACAUCCAUUACAUCUAUUUUAGUCCUAAACACCCACUUACAACCAACACUAGAUCGAUUUGCUAGAAGAGGUGCCAAUUUCUAUGUACCAUUGUCCAUAAGAGAUUGAUACUCUUCUUCCAUAGCCUUCUUCUACUUGAUUGCAUCUUCACACUUCAUAGGAUCACAAAAAGACAAUGGAUCUGCAAAAAGAUCAAUAUUUGUAUGUUCUUCACUUACUUGAAGGAAGAUGUGAUCCUUCCACUAUUUGCCAUGUUGCCUUCUUUCUCUCAAAGGAUAUCUCAUUUCACUUGUUGAAGAACAUUCACCUUGUUGCACUCUAUGUUCCUUUCUAACCGUCUUCUCUCUUAAAUCUUGCCAUUUCUCACUCAAUGGUUGAUAUUCUUCAUCAUUAUCAUCAUCUCAAUCUUCAACAUCUUCAUUUCUUUCAUUGCUUGUCCUAGAAAUUGUAGGAGCCUUCAUCUUUUCAACCUACUUUGGCUUUUCAUCUUCAUCAACUUUAUUAUCUUCAUCUUCUUAUUUCUUUGCUAAAUUCAAAGAUGUGUCUAGAAACACACCCUUACUCCCACUUGGACACAUCUCUAAGUGCUCACAAGCACUCUUGUGCUCCAAAAACUCAACAUCACAACUUUUGAUGAUCUUCUUGGUUUCCAAGCACAUUAGUUUAUAUGCCUUAGUACCUUCACAAUACCCAAAAAACAUACACUUUAUACCUUUUGUAUCAAGUUUGGACCUUAUAAAAUCUGGUGUUUUUGCAUAUGCAAUGCAACCAAAGGUCCUCAUGUGGGAAAUGCAAGGUUUUCUUCCACUCCAAGCUUCAAGAAAAGAAGUCUAAAAGCUACAAACACUUAGCAUCAGCAAGGAUUGUACUCUAAGAGAAGUGUCGAGAAAGAUAACUCUUACUUCUAAUACCUUUUACUUAUAGAUGGAGUUUACAUCUCAAGUACAUAGACUUCAUCCAAAGUCACCUUCAUCCUUUCAACUAGAUCUAGAUUCAUCUUAACCUAGCCGCCACCUUAAAACUCUAGCCGCUGCUAUAAUAACUUUUGCUAUCUUUUGACUAUUAACAAUUUAUUAUGAUUAAUCUUCAUGUGGUGGUAACUAAAUAAGAACUUGCUGAUCUUUAACAAAGUCAACAUUUUUUUAGAGGUCCUAUAGAACCUAAGUAGAUGGUAUACAUAGAAGCAAGAGUAAAGCUUUCUUCACUCUUGUCAAUUCUUUUCUUAUUUCUAAUCUAAUUUUAAGAGUCUCUAGUUUCUCUAUCUUUUAGCCAUAGCCAUUUCAAUUUUCUUUUUAAGAUACAUACUUUUCUAUUUUUAUUUUUUCAUAUUUCUUUGAGAUAGCUUCACUUAUUUAUUUGUUUUUAUUGAGUUCUUAUCCUUGACAAUAUUAGCACAUAUUCUAAAUUGCUGCCAAGUCCAUUGAAACAUAUCUUUAUUAAGAUUUAAAUUCAAGAUUACUUACCUACUAAAAAAACCAAGAUUUACUAAAUAUCCUUUUCAAACGUUCUUAUCUUAUAUCAAAAAUAAAAAAUAAAAAAAUAAAAAAAUACAACUCUUCAUCAACAACAAAUCAUUCUUUAGAAGUCAUAAUAAUUUCAUGUUUGAGCAAUGAAAUCAAGACUAACUAUUGAUUCAAUAUUUUUUAAUCAAUUUAAAUAAAAUAUUUUUUUAAAUCUUUUUAUUUAUGAUAUUAAAAAUAAUUCUUAUAAAUCUAAUAAUAUUUUUGGAUUUGAAUUCAAGAAAAAUCUUCUUUAUUUUGAGAGAUGCUUAUAUAUUCUAAAAGGUGUAGCAUAACUACAUACUCUUUAUGCUUGUCAUAGUUUUUUAAUUACAAGAUAUUUUAAAUAUAACAAGACCUAAGAUUUAAAAUUAUUAUAUUUUUAGAAAUUUUUAAUAUAAAAAAUAGUUAAAGACUUUGAACAAUCAUAUAAUAUUUGUUCAAGAUAAAAAAAAUUCUUAUCAUUGACCUUAUGGACUUUUACAACCAUUAUCAAUACUAAAACAACCAUGGUCUUAUAUUUCAAUUGGUUUUAUCACAAAUCUUUUAAUUUUAAGUUCUUAUGAUUUUAUAUUUUUAAUAUUAAAUUAUUUCACUAAAAUGGCAUAUUUUAUAUCAUAUACAAAAACUAUCAUAAGUGAAGAAACAACUAAUUUUUUCCUUCAUAAUAAUUAUUAUUAUCAUAAAUUAACAAUAAAUGUUACAUUAAAUAAAAUGACUCAAUUUAUAUCAAAAUUUUGGAGAAUUCUUUUUUAGAUAUUGAAAAUGGAUGUAAAUUUAUUUUUUAUUUUUCAUCCACAAAUUAAUGGACAAAUGACAUAAAAGAUAAGAAGGUAGUAAAAAACUUAAAUGGUUUGGCAAGGAAAAAUUAUUGCUUAAAAAUUAAGACCUAUGUUAGAAAACAAAGACAACAAAAUUGGAGAGUUUUAGAAGUUUUUUCUCUCAAUAGGUGAGUUUGAUUUUCUUCAAUAUUUGAAAUGUGGAUGAAAUUUUAGUUGAGAUCAUUAAUUCAAUUAAUAGUUAUUGAGAUUUUAAAAUAACUUUAGAAAUUAGUUAAGAUUUAUUUAGGAUUUAUUAGGAUUAAUUAGGAUUUGGUGAGGAUUUGGUGAGAUUUUUUAAAGAUAUCUUAGAGUUUUAUGAUAUUUUGUUUAAGGUUUCAUUAUGAUUUUAUAUGAAUUUAUUUAGGAUUUUAUUAAGAUUUUUUUAAGAUUUAUUUAAGACUACAUGAGGAUUUGAUUAGGAUUUACUUAGAAUUUUUAUUUUGAAUAUAUUUUUAGGAUUUUUUUAUAUUUCUUUUAGAUUUUUAUUUUUAACAUUUAUUAAAGAUUUUUUAAAAGAAUAAUAUAUAAUUUCUUUAUAUUACUUUUAUAAAUAAAAUAAAAAAAUAAUUAAAAUUUAAUCAAGAUUUUUAAAAUUUAAUUAGAAUUUAUUCAAGAUUCUAUUAUAUUUGAUAAGACCUUAUUAUUGCAAUUUCCUAUUUAUCUUCUACAAUUUAGUAUCUAAUAUAAUUUAGUAUUUAUCUUCUCAAGCAAGAAUUUACUUAAUAUGACAUUGCCAAAAUAGAUUAGAAUAUUUUAUACAUUAGCAUAGAUAUGAUUUUAGUGAAUACACAUAGGAACUAACUAAAAAUAUUAUAAGUACAACAAAAAAUAUUGAUAUUUUUCAUUGCCUACAUCUAUCAAAAUAAAGAUGAAGAGUCAAAUAAUUCUUUGCUUUAAAAGAAAUAAGGUUUAAUAAAGAUUUAUCAUAGAUGUACAUAAUUAUCAAGAUAAAAAGUAUUAAGAAGAAGAUUUGAUACUAUCUUAUGGAGAAGCUUCCUAGAAGCUAUAUACACAUAGAUUUAAUUUUAUAUAAGUUUGUAAUUGGUUGGUAGGUUAGAAACAUGACAACCAAGUUUAUCAUGCAUCACACAUGUGAAUGACUAAUGGUACUAGUUGGUUAUAUAGCACACAUGUAGGAAAUUUAUUUUGCAAGUUAGAUAUGUGUCUUACAAGUUAGACACAUGUCAAAGGUCAUAUAGAAUACUACCACAUAGCUCUUAAUUAGAUGGUAUAUAUGGAUGCAAGAGCACAGGCUCCUCCACUCUUGCUAGUGCCUUAUUUGUUCUUAAUCUAGUUUCAAGAAUCUCUAGUCUUCUAGUCUUUAAUAGUAGCCAUUUUAGUUCUAGUAUUAUACUAAUUUUGAAUAAAUAUCUACUCCUUUUGAGUGACACAAGAGUGUAUUGAGGUUUUUAUUGUUUGUAAUUCAUGUCCUUGACAAUACUUUGUUUAAUUGAUAUUAGCUCUUAAAAGAGUUUUGUAUUUUUCUUUCUUAUUAUGAUUUAAAUAGACAAAAGAACACCUAUAAGGACUUAAUAUUAUAGAGUGUAAGAUAGAAUAUAUUUUUAAUGAUAUUAAAAUCGUCAAGUUAUGAUAUUAGGCAAGUCUUAAGGUGUCUAUAAAGAUAAUUUUUGUAUGAGUUUUGGCUAUUAACAUUGUAUGAUCAACUUUUAAGUAAAUCUUAAAUAAAGAAAUCUAGACUUGUCAUAUAUCAAAACAUAUUAAUACUUGCCUUAUAUCAUCUUAUGACCAUGUAUGAAAUAUGAUUAUGCAUAUUAUGUAAUAUUUAGUACAUGAAGUAUACUAUAUUAAAUUAUAUUGAAUAUGCUUACAAAAGCCUUGUAAUCCGAUAGCAUUGAAAAGAAGAUUAAUUCUUAGUUAUAAGUCAUGGAAUUAGUUUAAAAGUAAGUCUUAAGUGAUAAUAUCAAUAGAAUUCCAAAAAAUACUUAUAAUUAUUUAAAAAAGUAAAUAUGAACUAAAAAAUAAUGAUCAAUCUUGAUUACUUUCUUUAUUUCAAAUUCAAUUUGAAAUAAAAGAACGUAUAAAAAUAGUUAAUGCUAUAAAUGUGGUAUUACAAGUACAAUACUUGAAAAAAAAAAAAAAAAAAAAAAAAAAAAACUUUAGACUUGAAAUAUAUGUAAGACUUUAAUGAUGUAGAAAAAUUAAAAAGUUAUAUUAAAAUUAGGGUUUAUUUUAAUAAUAAUAAUAAUUGUGAAUUAUGUAUGAGUUGGUGCUAAAUGAUGAUUGAUUUUGUUCUAGAGGUGCGUAUAUAAGAAUUGAAAUAUAAAUAUUGUGAAGUUUAUUGAAGAAAUGAUUAUGAUUUUUUUUAGCCCAUAUGCUACAUAGCAAGAAAGAUUAUUUUCUUAUAUAUAUAGAUAUAUAUUUAUAUAUCUAUAAAAAUAAGACUUCUUUGAUUUUAGAAUUAAUUUCAAUGUUACAAAUUUCACAAGUCUGUUGUGUUAAAAUGUUAAAUUAAAAACGCUUGAAUGAAUGAAUUAUAUUAGAUUCAAAAACCGUGCUUAUCAUCGAGACUUCCAUAUGGGAACCUUGCCAGUUUCAUCCAACUGUAGGAAAAGCAACCAGAACCACGAAAGGGAACGCAAAAGGCUAGCGAAAGUAGAAAGGGGAAGAAUCUGAAGGCCCGGGAACGCAGCCGAGAGGGCGUUCGCAAAGAGAUUCGCGUCCCCAAGGAGGGGAAUCAAAUAUCUAAUGAAGCCAGCCGGGGGGGGGGGGGGGGAAAAAGGCUUAAGGGGGGCUUAAGGAUAAGGUUCCCAUGCCCGUGGGCCUCGCUCGCUAUCACGACAUGGGCAUUGUGCCUGGUCUCCGUUGCCUCCCUCCGCAAUCCUUCAAUAAACCCUCCGUUCCGACGAGUUUUCUCUUUUUUGCAUCGUCGUCGUCACAGAUUAGGUGAUGGAAAUUCGUUGGCUCUCAACCUUUGCCAUGCCUCUUGUAACUAAAAACUGAACAGAUGAUUCGUAGCCAUUUGAACAGAAUGACGAAUGUUGCGUUCUUUGUGGCUUCAGGGUUUUGGAUUUGGAUGGAUUUUGAGACUAGCAGGGCUUCUUGGAGGGUUUUUUGAUGAGUGUGGAGGUUUGAGCUGGGGUUGCAGUGAAGGAAGAGUAGGAGGAGGAGGAGUGGAGGUGGAGGAGGAGUGGAGGUGGAGGAGGAGUGGAGGUGGAGGAGGCGGCGAUUUGCAGUGGUUGCUAAGGAUUUUAAGGAAUUUUGUGAGGGGAGUUGGUUGAUUUUGAGUGUGUUGGAGGCUUAGAUGUGGUGGUGGAUAGGUAUGUAGUAUAGAGAAGGAAGUGAGUAGGCUGGAUAGCCAUAAGGCAGAUGGCUCUUACAGUCAGGGCAAUGGCAUCAGCUGCACAAGGUGUGCGUCGUGCGGGCAUGUUCUACAGUGACUCGUUGGAGUCAUCCAAUUUUUAUUGUAAGAGUAGGAUAAGUGGCAGAGCGAGUGGCGGGGUUGUUUGCAAGAAGGCUCUUGACGGUCUUGUCUGGAAACACUUGAGAUGGAAUGCGAAUUUCAAUGCCAAUUCACUCCCGAGGAGUCUUGGCAGAACGAGACGUAGAGGUCGGAGUCAAGUUGGCAGCUGGCGUGCUAUACAGGUUGAUAUGCAGCUCACUGACGAUGCUGAUGGCAUGAGAGUUGGAGUGAGGAAAGCGAGGAGCGCGGCUACUGAUGUGUCGUCAGUAUCUCAUAACAGUAGAGACUUCAUUGGCGGGGAGAAACUUGCAAGUGAUGGAGAAAAGAUAACGAAUGGGGUGAAUGUCAUUGGAAGGCCUAAGAAGUCUAAAAGCUCUGGAGUGAACGGUAGCUGUGGAGGGAAGAAGAAGAAGAAGUCUACAGAGGGCGCUAAGGAUGAUGAGCGCCUGAAUUUAAAGGUUGAUGGAUUUGUUACUGAUUACAGCGAUAGUGAUUUGGAGAGGGAUGCGGAAGAUAGCGAAGAUGAAUUUGAAGUAGAUAUCAGUGCUUACACUGAAAAAGGCAAUGGAAAUUCGAGGACUUCGGAUGCGAGCCUCAACGGCGAUACUAGGGUUUCUGGUAGUGUUAGAGAACGGAACCCUGGACAAGAGGAAACGGACUUGCGGUACAUGUUUUUGGAGGCAAUCAUGGAGAAAGCUCGCAAGGCAGACGUUGAAGGAGUGGAGGAGGCUUUAACUGGAAUGUCACUUGCGGGUUUGGAUGCUGGCCCCAGGGCUUACUAUGGUCUUACUGUUGCAUACGCUAGAUCUGGUGACCCGGAAGGAGCUGUACGUAAUUUCAUGCCUUGUGUGAAAGACCUAUUUUAUUUUAUUUUAUUUUUUUUAAUGCUGUUUGCGUAUGUUUGCUUAUUUAUUGACUCAGGCCUAACUGCUUAGAUUUUCCUUACUCUCGCUUGUCGCAGGCCAUGCCAUAACAAAUUGUUCAAAACUAAUUCUAUUCGUCUAUUCAUUUUGGGAUGCAUCUACUACAGAAUUUAAAAUUUAUCACUUCGAAUAUUGCCAGCAGAGUUGAGCUCAAGAGCUCAUCACAUGGUGACGAUGAAUAAUUGUGGCUAGUUACAAGAUAAUUUGUACCCUUUUAAUCUGUUUCAUAACAUUCACAGCUACUCGCUCAUAAUCUCCCUUUUCAAUUCUUUAGGGUGAAUGCCGUAGUGUUGAUGUAUGAAGGCUGUUGUCCCUUAUGAAUCCAAUCCACAUUGCGCAGGUCCAAGCACUAAAGAAGGCGGUCCAAGCAGGAGUGAAUCCUUUACCAGAAUCUAUGCUGGCCUGUGUGCGCCUUUAUGGUAGCACUGGCCAACCACAGCGGGGCAAGGAAAUUCUGGCUGCUAUGGAAAAGCUAAAUUACAACCCUAGGGUGGCUUGGCUAACUUUAGUUGGUAAGCAUGCUUUGACUUACGCAAAUGAAAAGCAUUGUUUAUUCUGCUUUCAAUUUGCGGUCAUCUGUGAAACGCGUGUUACCCUGUUUAUUCAUGUAUUCGUGAGAGACUGGUCUGAUUGAGUAGAAUAUUGGGUUGUAACGUUUUGAUGUUGAUAUGUAUCACAUCUUUUUCUUUGACCAUUCCGAUUCAUUUUAGUCUGAAAAAAUUUCAAUGCUUUUCUUGACUUAUUCACAGAGGAGCUUCUCAAUAAUUCUUAUCUACAAGAAGCGAAUGAGGUUUAUAUUGAAGGACUUGAAGGAGGACUUCGAGGCACAGACGUCUUGUUUGAUAGAAUAGUGGAGGCAAACUCUAUUAUUGGGGAUCAUGCAAAUUGUAUCAGUGUUCUUCGAUUAAUGGAAUAUGGCGGGCGCAUGUCUACAACAUUCCACUACAAUUGUCUUUUGCGAGCUCAGGUACUUACAGGGGUAUGAGUCUAGGUAGUAUGAUUUAACACAAAAAAGGACUAUCUAACUCGUCAGUCCUGAUUUUUUUUCUGAACUCCGAGCUCUGUAGUUACUCGAAAUCUGGUAGUCAAAUAUUGUCAACGCCUAAACUAGCAGAUCUAACUGUAAAAUGAGGCGUGACAAAGCAAUGUGCAAUUAGUGUUUUCUAGAGUUUUGAGUGUCUCCAUUGAACAUGCAGUUUUGAACGACUAAAUUAGUCUAUUCUUUACAUCUCCUAAUUGGUUGGCAAUGUAUUAUUUUUGGGCAGUGUAUGGCAGAUGUUCCAGACAUCAUCGCCAUGACGUUUGAAACUAUGCAGUAUGGCCGAGGUUGGUUCAAACCGCUAAAUGUGCUUGAUUCCAGACUGAGGUUGAUUUGCGAUGACGCUGUUUUUAAUAUGAUUAUUAUUUUUUUUUACCUUUGGUAGCGUGUACAUGUGCGUGUAGAUGAAAUGAAGCCGGACACAGAGUCAUACAACUGGGUAUUACAGUCAUAUGUUCGGCACAAGUUUGGUGACAGGUUGAAAUCUGCACAGCACUCUGAAGUUAAUUAAAGUUUUUAUUUUUUUUAUUUUUGUUUUCUACGUGUGGUCCCUGCAGGAUGUGACUCAUGCUCAUUCUAACUACCGUUAACGUACUGAUCUUUUUACGUGGUUUUUAAUACAGGUGUCAAGAGGUCAUCGAUUUGCUGGGAGAAAUGGUUGAAGAUCACAAGAGGGUGCAACCAAAUCAAAGGACAUACGCGUAAGUGUGCCAUUAAUUUCAAGGGCACGGCUUAGUGAAAUUUAAAUAUAUAAAAUACCACUAAUGGUGCUUUGUUUGGAGGAUAGAGUAAUUAAGCUCUGUCCUCCAAAUUACUGUAAGAUGGUGUGAUGGUCUUUAGUCACUUCGUCACCGAACUCUGCAUCCUAUUUCUGACUAUCGAAGGCUGAACAAAGUAUGAACUCACUUGCUUUGAUUCUUAUCUUGCUGUGAGAAAAACAUUGAAAUUCUUUUGUGUUCUUAUUUUUUCAGGCUUCUUGUGGAGUGCUUCAGCAAGUAUGAUCAUUUCAAUGAAGCCGUGAGACACUUUAGAGCGUUAGUUAGAAAUCCCGGAUCAACCACUUUUCUCUUCAAUGAAGGUCAUGGAAGAGACACUGAUCCGUUAUCACUUUACAUUAGAGGCUUAUGUCUAGAAGGUGCGUACUCUCACCCUUGUUUUCAGAAAUCUGCAUCAUUGAUUAUGAAAGAAAAAUGAAUCAAAAUGUGAUCGUGUUAGACCUAAGAUAAACGAGCCAUAUUGAACGUGCAAAUCAAGUCGCAUACUCCUUACAACCUAAACUAAGGGACAUUUCUUCGUAUUUCCCUUCAGAAGUUGACUAAGAAAUAACGUAGCCGAUGUGGUUUGAGAAUGUUCAGGCCGAGCCGGAGAUCUGGUGGAGGUGUUGGAAUCCAUGGUCAGGGACAAUCAGCCCCUGCCAGCGAGGGCACUUUUGGUCAACAAGAGGGGUCGUACAUUGGUCAGCUCUUGGAUAGAACCUCUGCAGCAGGAGCCCGAUCUUGGUUACGACAUCGACUAUGUUGCAAGGCAUGUCAUUUGUAUUGAUUGAAACUAGGUGUUAGCUGUUUUGUUCUUUAGAUGAAUGCUCCUUUCGCACAAUUGGUACGAAUCUUAUUUAUUUUAGUGGUAUUUACUUCAGUGAUUUGGGUAGAUAAUGGAGUUUGAGGAUAGGUUUUGUCAAAUAUUUAGUUCCGCGCGCAAUUAGUGUUAGUUUCAAACGAGAUUGUUGAAGUGUACUACAUUUCGGAGCGGGACCAUAGCGACAGUACCUGGGAUUUUUUCUGCGGUCUUGUAGCUGUUCUAAAGAUGUCAGAAGUUUCUUCGUUGUAUGUGUGCUAGUACGAGAGUGUCAAUUGGGAUUAUAUUCUUAUGACUCCAACUCCAUACAAUGUUUAUAGAAACACACAAACUCUUGUAGUAUAUGUACAUGUUAGAGUGAGCAGUGACUGAAAUUUAGAAUUAUCACCUUGAAGAUGUGGGUUGAGGAACUACUGGUAAUGAUACUUUUGAUAUUCUGAACAGAUUCUUAGCAGAAGGAGGCGGGGAUGGCACGCGGAAGAGAUUUACUGAUUCAGUUGGUGGAAGGUUCAAGGCUGUAGAUGAUGAUGGCUUCGCAUAUGCAGCCCCGCUGGAAGUUUCUUACAAGAGUUUCCUGACUCAUAUGCGCAAGAAUUACAACUUACGGUUGCUUCGGAAGCUGAGAUUGGAGGGUGUGCGUGCUUUAGGUCCAGGUGCUACUGAGGCAGAUCUUCACCGUGUAAUUGAAAGGUCAGUUUUCUUCAUUUGUGUGCUGAAUUCAAUGUGUGUGUGUGUGUGUUUUUUUUUUUUUUUUUUUUUUUUUUUAAAUUUAGAUAUCAUUUUCACGCGUUACUGUGCAUUAGCAGAGACUAUUUUCUUAAAGGUCUAAUAUAUUAGUCUUGUUGUUUUUCAGGCUGAAAAAGGAUACUAGAGGCGAUGUGGGUUACCAAAUAAGGAAACCGAAGGCAGCUAGUAAGAUGCUCGUUUCAGAGCUCAAGGAUGAGUUGGAGGCACAAGGGCUUCCUACUGAAGGCACUAGACCAGUGCUGUACCAGCGCGUGCAGAAAGCCAGACGGAUAAAUAAGGCUCGUGGCCGACCACUCUGGGUUCCUCCAACAGAAGACGAACUUGAUGAGGUAUAUCAGAUAUAAGCAAGAAAUUUUCAGAUUUCUUUCACCACUUGUCUUAUUGUCGUGUACAAACGCAGUUACAGUGUGCGAUGUUUCGGCUAGUUCUCAGCUCAGUUUUUUUCUGAAUCUCUGGGACAGUUGUGAGUUUCCUAUUUUGCUUCUCCGGUGGUUCGACCUGGCCCUCUCCGAUGGUAUCUGUUAGUAAAUAGUGGUAGUAUUGGUGAUCCUGUCUUCUCGAGCAUAUUUUCGUUAUUUUUAAUAGUAUGUAUUCUGGCACUGUCUGCAGAGACAUGAUGAAGAGAUUGAUAUGUUUAUGGAAAGAUUAACGCUGAAGAACGAGAAUUCGGAAUUCUGGAGGAAGCGAUUUAUCGGCGGAGCGGGUAUUUUGGAUGAGGAGGAAUCUUUAUAUCAAGCUUCUGCCGAUUCUGACGAAGAAACCUUCGCAGACGAUGAUGAUGAAGAUGACGACGAUGAGGAUGAGCUUCAGGUAACAGACAGUGCAGAUGAUCUUGUUGAAGAUGGAGGCGAGGAGGAUGUAGGGGAGCCCCCUGAAAUGUUGGCUAUGCAGCUUCUGAAGAACAAGAAAGAAGAGGUUAGUUAUAAGUGGUGGUGUAGUGCAUGUUCAUUAUGAAAGAAUCUUUUCUUUCUUUUUGAUCUAUGCUGUUUUGGUCUUUGAACAGCGCCUGUAGCAUGGAUACGAUCGUUAGAUGUGAGGUCAUAUCAGACUCUGAGUAGUUCAUAUUGUUUUAGUAAGCGACUGUUGGUCCUGGCCCUGAUAUGAAUGCAGUAGCUUCUGGUGGGACUUCAGUUAAAUUGACCUCAGUCCGACCUCGGUCUCAGUUAAAUGUGCGUUUGCGAUUCCGUAGUCUAUUGUAGGCAAAUUGUUUAUUCUGUGAGCCGGGUGUUAGCUUCAAAUGUUAUCUCCUAAAAUAUUAUUGUUUAUCAUUAUUUUCAGGUUCCGGUAGUGAAGGAAGAGGACAGGGAGGGAUCAGAGUGGCUAGGGUUGACUCUGGAUGAGAAGAUUACAUUUAUGAAGGAAAGGGGUAUGGAUGAAUCAGCAUUCUACACCAUAGCUGAUGUCUGGGGAUGGACAUGGGAGCAAGAGAUUCGAGAUCGUGUGCCAGAAGACUGGUCCCAGGAGAAGGAAGUGCAGUUGGCCAUCGAAAUCAUGCUCAAGGUUGGACGAUUCUCUGUUCUCUCAGCCGUCGUAGCUCAAAAGUUACAAGUGGCUCUCUCAGCUGCACGAGAUGUAUUAUUGAUUUUAAUGAGUUACAUUAUUCAAUGAUUAGGAACUGAUCUAGUUGUCUCUUCAGGUUCAAGCUCUUGGAGGAAUUCCAACCAUUAACGACAUGGGAAUACUUGUACGAGCAGCAAUGCGAACACCUUGGCCUGAGGCAUUAGUUUCUCUUCUCCAACAUUCUCAUAAGCUUGGUUAUGCAUUUGGCAGGUAAAUUGUUUGUCAUUGGACCUCGUCAUUUUUAAGGAUUGUUUUGUUACUUUCGGUUUAUUUAAGGAAAACGACUUGAAUGCGUUAUACUUGAGGAUAUUUUUUGAUGCACAAGCAACUUAGAAAUUGCACUUUUGUUACUUGCAGCAAGUUGUAUGCCGAGGCUGUGCGUCUGUGUCUAUCACUCGGAGAAAAGGACGCUGCAAUUAAUAUCAUUUCUGAUAUGGAGGAUAUGGGCGUGGCUGCUCCACCAGACCUUCUCACGGAUGUCCUCGAAGAAACCCAGUUUCGGCAAAUCUCGGAUGUCCUUGCAGUAGAACCAGAGGAAGAAUAGGUCGAGACGAUACAGCUUCCCUCUUUUUAUCGGGCUUACCUUUUAUCCCGCAUAGGAAAGAGCUGUUUAGAAAGCGAGUCAUUUAAUGAAGUCGCCUUUUUAGAAGCCUGUUCUGACAGCGCACAACUUGGUCGCACCUUAACCUAGAUACUAUGAUCUUCCUCGCUUUUACUAGCCCUUUUGAGACGGUUCAGUAGAGAGCUCUCAUCUUCUCGUUUUAGAGGCACAGAGAUGCACAUCUUUGCCCUCAUCCACUUAGAUGCCUGGCCAACCCUCAGGCACCAGAAAAUCACUGAUUGUUUUCGUGAUAUAUUAACAAAGCUGUUAUACAAAGCCUCUGGAAUAUCCUCGGCUUUCACACAUUUUAUUAAAGCUAGUGAAUCUUUUGGUCAACUUUUUGGAAGUGAGCUGGGUAAAGUUGCAUGGGUUGCAUGGGUUGUAACCUGCGGUUUAUUAUCUGGUUCUGAAAUUCUACAUGCCGUAAGAUCAUACCGUUUUUUCAGGAUCUCACUCUAAGUUUUCCUGUUGAUGUUUUACAUUCGGAUAUUCUCCUGCAACUGAUAUCAGGAGUUAACUGCGUGCGAAGUUUCAGGCAGCCACAGAAUCCCAUAAUUCAGCUUCUGUUUAUGAUUCUUAACAGAUCGUUCAAUCGAUUGCAUUGAUAUUGUGUGUGUGUUGAUAUCUACACAUCAACACACACAAAUGGUGAUACAUACGAGUAAGAGUAAGCUCAAAUAACCAAGGGAAGUUUGAAUGGUGUGCAAAUUAUUGUCGUAACCAGCAUGUAUUGAAGAAACCAAAUUAUUUCGGUGUAAUUACCGUCCUUAAAGUUAAUAUAGUGCCCUUAUUGUGAUCACCCUGGUUACAUUGCAGCAAUCUUUCUGCAUUGUUAACCUCUAAAUUAAGAUAGAACUUCUAAACUAAGGAAUUCUUUCAAUUUCAUUUAGUUGAUUGAACUUUGCAAGACUACAUCAAUAACAUUGCUGAACUGAUUUGUUUUUUUCUCUCAAACUUAGAACAACCAAAUUAAAACAUUGCAGUAGUGGGUUAUACACAUGAUAUUGCAGUGCAUCUUUCAUACACAAAAGAGACUCUCAAUGUUGGGUAAUAUUAUUAGAGGUAAAAACUACUCUUGAUUGUGCUCUAAGUAUUUUAUUAGAAGGAAGUUACAAAGACCUCAAUAAUGAUCAAAUAAAAUGGUGGUAUUCUCUCCCUUCUAUGGGAUACUAUUAAUGAUUGAAAGGACCUAUCAACUACCUUUAAUGGGAACAAAAAUUAGAGUAUGUGGCAAACACAAUUUGCCACAUUUUGGACUUUAUCAACAUGUAAUCACCACUCUUUGUAGAACUCAUUUCAAGAAUGGAAGUAGGAAAGGAGGAGGUAAUGUAAAAAAUAUAUAUAUAUAUAUAUAUAUAUAUAUAUAUAUUAGUAACUACUUAGAUUAGAAGAAUUAGAUAAAAGAAAUAAAUGUAAGCAAAUUUAAAGAUAUUUUGUGGAAAAGCUUUAUAAACAUAGAUUUGACUUUCAAAUUAUUUGUAAGUGAUUGUUUGGUUUAAAACUUGGUCAAUAAAUUGGCUAAGUAUUGCACAUGUUUACUUUCUUUACAAGUUAACUACUAUUGUUUAUGUUGACCACUUGCUUUAUAAAUUGGCCACAUAUUGCAUACAUUGGUCACUUAUCAUAUUAAUUGGCCAUGUAGUGCACAUGUUAGAAAUUUUUGUUGCAAAUUAGAUAGGUGCUUUAUAAGUUGAACACAUGUAAGAUGAUCUAUAGAACAUUGUGACAUAGUUCCUUAGUUAGAUAAUAUAUAUGGAGGCAAAAGUGAGGCCUUCCUCAUUCUUGCCAACACUUUUCUUGUGUUCUUGCUUUAGUUCAAGAACUUCUAGUCUCUUUGUAUUUAGCAAUAGUUUUACUAGUUCUCGCAUAUAUCUAUCUUUGAUUUGUCUACUUUCUUUUUUUUGAGUAUUAUAAAAGUGCAUUACUUCUUUAGAGUUUGAUUAUGAUUCAUAUCCUUAAUAUUAGCUUGACAUAUAUAUAUAUAUAUAUAUAUAUAUAUAUAUAUUACAUUUAUGUAUAUUUUUUAAUAUCUAUGGUAGUAAAUAUAAUUUAAGAAAGUGUUUUUACUAAAACUUAUUUAAAUUUUAUUGUGAGUUAUAUAUUCACCUUCUUGUUUAUAUUGUGUUCUUACAUAAAAAAAAUAAAUCUGAUAUCAAAAUGAUACAAAUAAUAAAACAAGAAAAUCUCAAACCAAUUAAUUGAAGAAGAAAAAAAAAUAGUAAAAAAUAUGAUAAAAUAAAAUGUUAAAUUUUAUAUUUUAAUAAAAAAAACUUAUAUAAUUUUUUUUUUAAAAUAAACCUAAAUAUAUAUAUUUUUAAAAAGAAUAAAGUGAUUUUUUUCUAUUAUUAUUAUUUAUUAGAAAACUUAAACAAAUUGCACCCUUUAGAAGCAUGUAAAUGAAAAUUGGUCUAUAAGUAAAACAUUAUAUUUUUUAAGCAAAAAAUAUUUUUUAAUAAACUUAAAGUAUUUAUUGUAAUCCAAAAAUAUAAUUUUAAUUUAAUUUUAAAAUGUUUAUUAUAGAAAUAAUUAACUAAUUGAAUUGCUAUUCAAAUAAUAGUUUAAUGUAUUGGUUUUAUGUUUAUUGAUUCAUAACAUAAUAUUCUUAGUUUUAACAUAAUAUAUAAAACCAAAUUAAAUAUAUAUUUCUUUAAAUUUAUUUUUAUCAUAUAUACAAAUAUAUAUAUAUAUAUAUAUAUAUAUAUUAAAUUAAAAAUUAAACAUAUGCAAUGAAAUUUUGUAUUGCUUUGAAAUUUUAAAAAUUACAUUAAGUUUUGAAAAAUAAUGCAUAUGAAAAUGAACUUACAUGCAUUUUUAUAUUUUACAAAUAUUCUUAAAAAAUUAAUGGAUUUUUUUAAUUAUAAGAAUAUUUCAUAUUAUUAAAUAUAUAACAUGUUUUUCAGUUAUAAACCAGAAAUAUCAAACGGAUUAUGUCAAAUUAGUAGAAUUAGAUAAAUUUUUAGAAACGAACCUAUUUGCAUAGAAUAUCUAUUCAUGGUAACUUAUAGUAUUAAAAU
rnacentral:lncRNA from 1 species